UGAUAAUUAGAUUGCCAGGUAAGCCCAAUUUAAGGAAAAACUACUAAAGGAGGGUGUUCCACAUUAUUAAUCAAAGCACCAUUUUCAUGCAAUAUGAAGAAAAAGGAUCUCUCUGCUGCCGAAAAGAGUGAAAUAGUUCAAUGCCUUGGACGAGGUAUGAAAACAUUAGAUAUUUCACAAAAACUUAAGCGUGAUCAUCGCACUAUUAAGAGAUUUGUGGCUGGUUCAGAGCACAGACGGGUUCAGGCAGAUAAAGGCACAUUGAGGAAGAUUUCUGCCAGAUCCAUACAUCGGAUCAAGAGAGCAGCUGCUAAAAUACCACUACAUAGCAGCAAACAGAUAUUUGAAGCUGCUGGUGCCUCUGGAGUCCCACGGACAUCAAGGUGUAGAGUCCUCCAGAGUCUUGCAACUGUGCAUAAACCUUCUAUUCGGCCACCACUAACCAAUGCUCACAAGCAGAAAGGGCUGCAUUGGGCAGAAAAAUACAUGAAGACUAAUUUGCCGUGCAACCCUGGAUGGUCCAGAUGGAUGAAGUAGUGGAUGGUUGGUGGACGGCCACCCUGUUCCAACAAGGCCGUGACGUCAGCAAGGCGGUGGUGGUGUCAUGUUUUGGGCCGGAAUCAUGAGAAGAGAGCUGGUCAGCCCCUUUAGGGUCCCCAAAGGUGUAAAUAUGACCUCUGCAAAGUAUGCGGAGUUUCUGACUGACCACUUUCUUCCCUGGUACAGAAGGAAGAACUAUGCUUUCCGUAAUAAAAUCAUCUUCAUGCAUGACAAUGCACCAUCUCAUGCUGCAAAGAAUACAUCUGCAUCAAUGGCUGCUAUGGAGAAAGUCAUGGUGUGGCCUCCAUCCUCCCCUGACUUCAAUCCUAUUGAGAACCUUUGGAACAUCCACAAGCAAAAGAUCUAUGAGGGUGGGAGGCAGUUUACAUCCAAACAGCAGCUCUGGGAGGCUAUUCUGACAUCUUGCAAACAAAUUCAAGCAGAAACUGUCCAAAAACUCACAAGUUCAAUGGAUGCAAGACUUGUGAAGCUGCUAUCAAAUAAGGGGUCCAAUGUUAAAAUGUAACGUGACCUGUUAAAAUGUUUAAAAAGUUAAAAUGUUGCUAUAAGUUUGAUUGAAAUAGCUUUUGAUUUCAGUAAAUAUGCUGCAAACACAACAAAUGACAAUUGUCAGUUCUUUACAACCUAUAAAGUGUUUUGAAACUUACUGUGCGUAAUAAUAUGGAACAGUGCAUUGUAAGUUUUUUUUCUGUUUAAAAAAAAUACUGUUAUCAUUAGGAGGUUUGUUCAAUAAAAUUUGAAUUGUACUCUUAAUAGUUGAUAACAUGACAAUUAUGCUGACUGUUAUUUACAUCAAUUAUUUAGGUAAGUGAGAAAAAGAUAAUUUGCAUAAUAAUUUGGAACAGGGUAUAUAUACCUCAACCUGUGUUAGAAAUGAGGUCUGCCUUUGUUAAAGAACCACUAUAGUGCCUGGAAAACAUACUCGUUUUCCUGGCUCUAUAGGGUCCUUGGGUCACCCCCACCCUCAGGGACCCCCUCCCGCCGGGCUAUAGGGUGAGGAAGGGGUUAAUCCCUUACCUUUUUUCCAGCGCCAGGCUCCCUCAGCGCUGGGGACUCUCCUCAGCCGCGCGCGCAUUCACCCAGUCUCAUAGGAAAGCAUUCUCAAUGCUUUCCUAUGGACGCUGGCGUCUUCUCAAUGUGAGAAUCUUGAAAAAUGAUGUCACAUUACCGGAACAGUUUCGUCAUCCGCCGAUGAUGUGCUAUAAGAGAAAUAAGAGUCUCAAGGACUUAUUGGUUAGGACGGACCACACAUAUUGUUAUUCACAGGAACAAGUGUCUACUAAUUUAGGCUUUUAUAGGUGUUUAUGGUGCGUUACCUGUGGACAUAUGCUCCCAGGGAAAUUUUUCACCCACCCACAUACAGGAAAGAAGUAUAAUAUCAAACACAGACUAACCUGCACCACUGAUUAUGUAGUAUAUAAGUUAAGUUGUCCCUGUGGGUUAACAUAUAUUGGCAAAACAGACUUACCUUUACAGGAACACAUCCGUGACCAUAGAUCGAGUAUAAGAGUGACAUAUAGAGACCAGAAAUCAGACCUCCCGGUGGCCAAACAUUUUUUUGGAACAAGGACACACACUACCAACCCUAAAACUGAUGGCUAUUGAUCACAUACCAGUCCCGCGAAGAGGAGGGGACAGGAAGAAAAUGUUACUACAACUUUAUUGGAUUAGAACCUUGAGAACCGUUUAUCCAAACGGUCUCAAUGAGAAAUACACUCUCUCAGCAUUUUUAUAAUAUUUGUAUUGAUUAAUGUGUGGAUGAAAUGCGAUGCCCACCCUGGGGGAUAGGCAUGCAUUUUUACACCAUUCCGCUACAUUAUUUCAAGUUGUAUAUAGUUCCAUUAUGUCACUCAUGUUGUGUGAUUGUGAGCCCACCCUGGAGGAGAGGCUAACCAAUCGUUUACCUAUAGUGACUAUCAAUUUAUGUGAUUAUUUUUAUGUUGUUUUUUAGAAUUGCUAUUGCCAUUUUUAUUUUUCAGUUUCUUCUGUUAUAGGUAUGAUCCUAUUGAACACGAUAUUGGAUCAAGGUUGAUCCAAAGUAAUGUUUUGUGUUCCUUUGUGAAUUUUUUUUUUGAGUAUUGGGACAUCAUUGUGAUUGGACUAGUUAUGUCCUUCAUUGAGUGAGAAUAUGUGACCAAAUGGUUCUUUUGUGGAUUUAUGCUCCUUUUGGAUUUUAAUUAAUAUUGUAAAUUUAUUUGGUAAGCCUAUAAUAAUAAUUCUACCAGCCGUAUAUUGAAUGCAGAAUAGGGCUCACAUUAUUCACUAUCUUAAUGGUGUUUAUGUAAUUUGUAAGAUAUUAAUUAUAUCUAUGCCCAGUUUAAGUAGUAUUACUACCUUUUGUUUGUUAGGUUUUUCAGUAUGAUUAGUCAUAAGCAUUGUAAUAAUAACACUCCACUAUUUUUAAGUGGAUGGAUAAUGGAAUUGGGAGUUGAGGUUCAGUUCAUACCCCCUGGCAAUUCAGUAUGGAGGAUUAGUAUUUAUAUUCUCCUUAUUUGUGUUUAUGUCCAUGGUUACAGUGUAACUGGACUUGGUCGUAGCCUUAAUAUAUUAAUAUAUAAAUAUAUAGUACUCUAUCGUUUUAGAUAAAGAGAGUUGAUGGAUUAUGUAAAUAGGAGUUGGAAUUCUGUUUGUACCUUUAGGGAAGUCUAAACACGAUGUCCUCUUUAUUAUGAGUCUUGAUUUAUGGUAAGACCACUGUAAUUUUGAAUUCCAAUAUGCAAGUUGCUCUCAGGUUCGUUUCCAAUUCAAAUAGAUCGCUAUGCAGAAAUUAUGUUCAUAACUGAUUGUCAUUAUGCCGAUUGAAAUUAAUAGAAAGUAUAUACACAGCUUUUGUUCUCCUGCGGUGAAGCAGCUAUUAUGGUUGCUUUUAUAUUUUUUUACAUUUAUAAUUGUUUGUAUACCCAGGUUUCUAUGGCAACGACCCCUGGCCGCGUUAUCAAGCGUGACACCACGUGGCUGCAAACUCACGUCGGGCAGCCCGCGGCAAUCUCGGUGCUGGCGUCCUGGGAGUCGGAUGUUACACAGGUGGGGGUGAGUAAGUUUUAAGAUUUUUGCUUUAUAUGUUGGAUGUUUUUUGUGCACAGUGUGUCCUGAGGAAAGCUUGAAGGUAUCAAGCUGAAACAUUGACCGCUUUUAUUUAGAAGGUAAAUAAAAGUUAUAUUUUAUAUAAAGUCCUUGGAGUGCUAUACUAAAAUAUUUUUUGCGUAUUUUGAGAUAUAUGUGUAUAUAUCUCAAAGUACAGUUAUAAUGAAAUCACAUAUACGCAUUAUAUAUGUGUAAUAUAUUAUAAAAUGCUUUUGAUUUUAUAAUAUAUUAUACAUAUAUCAUUUUUUUUUUUUCAGCAGAGAAACUGCUGGAGUCUCUGGCAGUCUCCCCCGACCGUCAUCGCCGUGGAUCGCCGGUCCAAGUAAGUCCAGGACUCCUAUUUGCUGUGGACGUACUUGGUACGUCUGCGGUCCUUAACGACCGCUUUUUGUCGGACGUACAUAGUAUGUUCACAGUUGUUAAGGGGAUUUAUGUAUUUAUAACGUCAUUGUAAAUGUAUUUUGAUUUAAAUAAAUAUGUAUAUUAAUAUCAAAAUACAGUUAGAACAAAUUUAAACCACUUUAUAAUAUUUUUUUAAAUGUAAUCUUUUUUUAAAAAUUAUUUUUCAAUGUAUUUAUUAUUUUUACUAUAUAUAUAUAUAUAUAUAUAUAUAUAUAUAUAUAUAUAUAUAUAUAGUAAAAAGUAGUAAUGGUAGCACUCACGGUCUUCAGUUAAAAAUCUUCUUUAUUCAACAAGAGUUAAAACAUAAGGUCUAGGAUCAACGAUUCAGUCCUCUCUUAGGACUUUCAUGAUAUUGAUAUUGAUGAAAGUCCUAAGAGAGGACUGAAACGUUGAUCCUAGACCUUAUGUUUGAAUUCUUAUUGAAUAAAGAAGAUUUUUAACUGAAGAUCGUGAGUGCUACCAUAUGCCCAUCCCAUUUGUUCCCUAUUAAGGGUUAAUAAGCAUGUAGGGAUGUACACCCUGUUCCAAAUUAUUAUGCAAAUUAUAUUUUUCUCAUUUACCUAAAUAAUUGAUGUAAAUAACAUUCAGUAUAAUUCUCAUGUUAUCAACUAUUAAGAGUACAAUUCAAAUUUUAUUGAACAAACCUCCUAAUGAUAACAGUAUUUUUUUAAAACAUAAAAAACUUACAAUGCACUGUUCCAAAUUAUUACGCACAGUAAGUUUCAAAACAAUUUAUAGGCUGUAAAGAACUGAAAAUUGUAAUUUGUUGUGUUUGCAGCAUAUUUACUGAACUCAAAAACUAUUUCAAUCAAACUUAUAACAACAUUUGAACUUUUUUGCUCGUGGAUGCUCCAAAGGUUCUCAAUAGGAUUGAGGUCAGGGGAGGAUGGAGGCCACACCAGGACUUCCUCUCCUUUUAUCCCCAUAGCAGCCAUUGAUGCAGCAUGAGAUGGUGCAUUGUCAUGCAUGAAGAUGAUUUUAUUAUGGAAAGCAUAGUUCUUCCUUCUGUACCAGGGAAGAAAGUGGUCAGUCAGAAACUCCACAUACUUUGCAGAGGUCAUCUUUACACCUUCGGCGACCCUAAAGGGGCUGACCAGCUCUCUUCCCAUGAUUCCGGCCCAAAACAUGACUCCACCACCGCCUUUCUGACGUUGCAGCCUUGUUGGAACAGGGUGGCUGUCCACCAACCAUCCACUACUCCAUCCAUCUGGACCAUCCAGGGUUGCACGGCACUCAUCAGGGAACAGGACUGUUUGAAAAUUAGUCUUCAUGUAUUUUUCUGUCCAAUGCAGCCGUUUCUGCUUGUGAGCAUUGGUUAGUGGUGGCUGAAUAGAAGGUUUAUGCACAGUUGCAAGACUCUGGAGGACUCUACACCUUGAUGUCUAUGGGACUCCAGAGGCACCAGUAGCUUCAAAUAUCUGUUUGCUGCCAUGUAAUGGUAUUUUAGCAGCUGCUCUCUUGAUCCGAUGCAUGAAUCUGGCAGAAAUCUUCUUCAAAGUGCCUUUAUCUGCACGAACCCGUCUGUGCUCUGAAUCAGCCACAAAUUUCUUAAUAGUGCGAUGAUCACGCAAAGGCAUUGAACUAUUUCACUCUUUUCGGCAGCAGAGAGAUCCUUUUUCUUCCCCAUAUUGCAUGAAAAUGGUGCUCUGAUUAAUAAUGUGGAACACCCUCCUUUAGUAGUUUUUCCUUAAAUUGGGCUCACCUGGCAAUCUAAUUAUCACAGGUGUCCGAGAUUGUUUUCAGUGAUCAAAAGAGCCCUGAGACACAAUGCCAUCCAUGAGUUAAACUGAAAAACAAAAUAUUUAAUCUUUGUGACACUUAAAUAGAAUUUGCAUAAUAAUUUGGAACAGGGUGUAUAUAAAAAAUACCCCUUUCUGUCUCAUUAGAAAUAUCUUUGCCAGAAGCUCAAGGAAGCAAGGCGAAUGGUUAGAGUUGGGACCCACCUGCCUUGACGUGACAUUCCCUCUCAUGGCCAUUGCACAGUAGCAAUAUGUCCAUAAUAUAUUUCACGCGUCAUUGUAUAUUAAACAUAUUCUAAUUGCCCUUUUCUCAAAUUUCUUUUUUUAAAUGGACCAAUAACCUACUAUUUUUGUGAUGAAUAGUAAUAGAAUCAAUGAUGUAAUAAUGUAAUUUAUGUAAUUAUUUAUAAAGCAUCACAGUACAUUAAAUGUUAAUUUGGAAAUGCAAUACAAUGAUAAACAAGUGAAAAUCUCUAAUUCUAUCUAUCUAUCUAUCUAUCUAUCUAUCUAUCCAUCUAUCCAUCUAUUUCUAUGAUGCCUAAUGAUUGUUAUGUUAUUGCAGCAAACUGAAGAAAAUGUGCAGUGUUCUGGAUCUUUAUAAUUAUGUUUGGCUUGUUAAAAUACAUAUACUGCACUUGAUCUUCCUCAUCAUGAGUUUGCCUGUAUGGAAUUUAUUAGUCAUAGUUCAAGCCAUUAUUCCUUUUUACAUGACCUCAGAUUUCCAAUAUUGUAAUGCAUGGGCUUACACAUAAUUUAUUCUAAAGCAACGUGGAUGAUGUGUACUUAUAAGUAAACAUGUAGCUAUUUUAUCUAGUAAUGAAGACCAGUUUACCAAUAAUACAUGUGAAUAUUUGUAAUAUAUAUAAUCCCUUUCUUUCAUACACUGCCCAAUUGGUAUGCUGUCAGUUCUUGGAAUCAACAUUUCAAAACUGAGAAUUGAGUUUUUUUAUAUUUGUGUAAGUCACUUUACCUGACGUAGGGUUCUUUUAAAGCGGCACUGUCAUGCCGAAUCCUGGGUUUUUUUUUUAACCCCCCUCCGUCCUCCACUAUCUCUAAUUGACCCCCUAGUCACCCCCAAAUGCCCCUAAGCCCCCCACAUUUCCUAUUUUUUAUUCCUUAUUUUCUGCCCUGAUCUUUAUUCAGGGCGCUGCCAUCUUUGUGUGGGUAGAUGAAGUACCUGUGGGACACGUCAUCUGCCCACACUAGAUAGACUGUGAUAUUCCCGCACAUGCCCAGUGAAACACCUGGACAUGCAAACGGGAAUUUCAUCUAUUCAUUCAUUCAUUCAUCAGACAGACGAAUGAGUAAAUAGAAAUAUCAGCCGAACAAACAAACACUGAAUAUCAGUGUUCAUUUGUUCGUUCAGUUUAUUACAAGGAGGGAGCUACCGGCACGCAGCCCCACUCCUUGUAAUAUGUAACUAUAGAAGCGGCAUUGAGCAGUGCUCCCCACCACUUCAUAAGCCCCCAAGGCCCCCCUUACUCUAUGGGGGUCAAUAUGACCCCCAUAAUAGCACAAGAGAGAGUAAAAUCUCCCCAAUGCCCCUACUCUCUAUACCGCGAGUAGGGGCAUGUCCACUAAACAGUGAGCAGCCUCUGGCUGCUCACUGUAAAAAAAACAAAAAAAAACUAUUGGCCCCCACCCCUAAACAAUGGGUGGGGGCCCUAAAGUAAAAUAAGGGGGGAGACCUAUUGUUCCCCCCCCCGGCUCCCACCGCUGCGCGGCGGGUGGGGGCCAUAAUGAUAAUGGGGGGGACCUACUGCCCCCACCCCUGGGCGGCGGGUAGGGGCCAUAAUGAUAAUGAGGGGGGGACCUACUGCCCCCCCCGCCCCCACCCCUGGGUGGCGGGUGGGGGCCAUAUUGAUAAUGAGGGGGGGACCUACUGUCCACCCCCCUCCAGCCCCCACCCCUGGGCGGCGGGUGGGGGCCAAAAGAUAAUGAGAGGGGGACCUACCUGGGCGGCGGGUGGGGGCCAUGAAGAUAAUGAGGGGGGACGGGACCUAUUUUCUUCCCCCUCGGCCCCCAUCCCCAGGGCGGCGGGUGGGAGCCAUAAAGAUAAUGAGGGGGGUGACCUACAGUCCUCCCCUCCGACCCCCACCUCUGGGCGGCGGGUGGGGGCCCUAAGUCAAUUUCCCCUCCACCCCAAGGUGACUAGGGGUCCCCAAGCCCCUAGUCACCCACCCCCCCACCCAAAUAAAAAGUCCCAACCUACCCCCCUUACCCUAAAAAAUAGUGAGGGGGGAAUAAAAUAACUAACCUGUAAUAUAAAAUUAAACUUACCAUUCAACGUCUUCUUUUUUCUCAAAUCUUUAUUUUUCAGCCCCAAAAAAGGCCAAAUAAAAAAGGAUCCUAACCGUCAAACUGAAAAAAAUAAAAAUCCUGAGCGCAAAAAAGAAACCUAAAAUAACACUGUGUAAAAUUAAACUUACCAUUCAACGUCUUCUUUUUUCUCAAAUCUUUAUUUUUCAGCCCCAAAAAAGGCCAAAUAAAAAAGGAUCCUAACCGUCGAACUGAAAAAAAUAAAAAUCCUGAGCGCAAAAAAGAAUUUCCUAACCGUCAAACUGAAAAAAAUAAAAAUCCUGAGCGCAAAAGAAUUUUCCCACUGUGUAAAAUGACACAGAGCACUGUGAUUGGAUGGCUUGAAAUCCAUCCAAUCACAGUGCUCUGUGUCAUUUUACACAGCGUGGGAAAAUUCAAAAGAACUUUCUCACGCUGUGUAAAAUGACACAGAGCACUGUGAUUGGAUGAGUUGGGGGCGGAGCGGACAGUAGGUCCCCCCCCAUUAUCUUUAUGGCCCCCACCCGCCGCCCAGGGGUUGGGGCCGGAGGGGGGGUGGACAGUAGGCCCCCCUCAUUAUCAUUAUGGCUCCCACCCGCUGCCCAGGGGUGAGGGCCGGGGGGGAGGACAGUAGGUCCCUCCCCUCAUUAUCAUUUGGCCCCCACCCACCACCCAGGGGGCAGGGGGGGGAGGACAGUAGGUCCACCCCCCUAUUAUCUUUAUGGCCCCCACCCGCCGCCCUGGGGUGGGGGCCGAGGGGGGAGGACAGUAGGUCCCCCCCUCAUUAUCAUUAUCGGUAUAACGAGUAGGGGCACCAUUUACUAAUACUAAGUAAUUUUUACUUAGUAUUAGUAAAUGUGGCUGAAAGACCAAUUUAGGUCUUUCAGCCUUUUAGUAGAUAGCUCCCUGAUACCGUGGGAAUUAGGGAGUUAUCUACUAAGCGGCUGCAAGAUGCAGCCACAGCAUGCAUAGGAUCGGAGUUUCAUUCAUUCGAAUGAACUUCCGAUCCGAAUAAAGUGCCGAAUUGAGUUCUAAAACAAACGAACAUACUGUUCUCAUUCAGUUAGAACACAAUUCGGCAGUUUCAUCUAAAAUGAAAGGAAGCAUCGUGAGAUCACAGAGGAAAGGUAAGAAUUAUUGGAAAAUUGCUCUGACCAGCGGAAAUGAAGCACACUUUGCUGCUCCGCUGGUCAGAGCUGGUCAAGCAGAGGAAUCCUCCUUAAGGCAAAGAGUCCCUACUUUGUCUUAUGAUUUUAAAGAAAACUAAAGAAGACAGGGAGAAAAGAAGAGCAGAUCCUGAGAGAGGUGGAGAAGAGGAAGAGAUUGAGGAAAGGUAAGUUCGGCAUGACGGUGCCGCUUUAAGCCUUGUCAGUAAAUAACUCCCAUACAUAGUCCCUAAUAACAACAGUUUGUAGUUUGUAGUGGCUGCAAAUUACCACAAGGUUUCCAGAUGUGUUGAUACAUUUGUGUAGCCUAUCACACAGAAUGCUUAUGUAAAUAUAACGCACUUGCAAAUCACACUAAAAGUAUGUACACAUUGAAAGGAACAUUAUAGUCACAAGAACCACUACAGCUUAAUGUAGUGGUUCUAUUGUCUAUAGCCUCUCCCUGCAGUGUUAGCUCUGUAAACAAUGCCUUUUCAGAGAAAAAGUAGUGUUUACAUUGCUGGCUAGUAACACCACCAGUGGCAGUCACAGAGACUGCCACCAGAGGUGCUUCCUAGUCCAGUGCAGCACUAGCAUUCAGCGUUUCCACACUCUGUAUGAGGAGCUGAAGAUUCCCCAUAGAGAUGCCUUUAUUCAAUGCAUUGAUAUGAGAUGAUGCUGAUUGGCGCAGCUUGGCGCUUUGCCACUCAUGUGCAAUAGCCUCCUAAUGCUUUCCCAUGGGAAUGCAUUGGAUUGGCCGAGAUCAUAAAGAUUGUGUUACCAGAGGUGCUAAGGUUAUAAAAGUAAAAUAGUUUUGUUCUAUAACUUUAUAGCAUUAUUUUUUUUCCUUAUAUCAUUACUUAUAGCAUUAUUUUAUUUGUCUUAAAACACACUUUGACACAUCACUCUACUAAAAUAGACAUUGUGUUACCAAUAUAAACAUUAUCUGAAGAUCAAUUUUAACAGGAAAAUAUGUAAGCGCAAAACAUUUUUACAUCAUUUUGUACUAGUGAUGAAUUGUUCAUAAGUACCCCAUGUUUAUAAAGUAUUUAUGUUUCGCAUCACUAAAAAAAAUAAAAUUCAAUUUUUGUGAAUAUUUCUGUGUAAUGUGUUGGUAAUUAUUCUUUACAUUGAUAAAAUCAUUUUCAUGUAACAUGUCUGAAACAGGAUGCCCUAGAGCAGAAUUAGUUAUUUACGUAAAUAUUGCAACUCUGCAUUCCUGAGUAUAAUUAAUCAGAUGGGUAUACUCUGUUUUACAACUUUAUUCACAGAAGUAAAAACAAUUAAUGUACUAAUAUAAAGUAUAUAUAAAAUAUUCAACAUUUGAUUUGCUGUAUGUGAGUAAUACAUUGGUUUUUCUUCUGUCUAGUCUUGAGAUAUAUAUGUAGAAAAGGUUCAAACCCUACAUAAAUCACAAAACAAACAUAUUUCUGUGAUUUAUAGAUUUUAUCUAUUAGUUGACUUAUGCAGUAUUAUUUAGUUUGGCAAAAUAAAUAAGUAUUUAUAAUAAAUCAUUUAGAUAUUACAUUUAAAUGCUAUAUUCUUCUGAGAUGUCCCAAUAGCAGGUGGAGUUAGAUACUAUAAAGGGACAGUUCCAUAAAGCAGGUUAUAAAGUCAUGCUAUAAUUUGUUUAAAAAUAACUUGACACAAUCAAAUCAAACGAAAAUAGGAGGAACAUUAGUUAGUACUGUCUGUAGGUGAGGUUUUAGGAUAUUAUUUUUAAAUUUAUUCUUCUAAGUUGUUGCCACCAAACUGAAGAUAUACUAAAAAAGAUGUACUUUAUGGAAUUUUUUUUUUUUUUUAUAUACAAGUAAUAGAUUCUCAAGUCAUUCUGUAAACACAUAACAAAGAGGAUUUGUGAAAUUGGACAUAUUGACAUGGUGAAAUCAGUGACAAGCACAAGUGCAAAGCAAAAUCUAUAAAGUAGGUUGUCGAGGAGUCAUAUUCAGGUCAGUGGCAUUUAAAAAAAGGGCAGAAGAUAAAGACAAAAUCUGAUGCAAGUCAAAGUAAGUGCACUCAUUGAAAGACAUAUUGGUUCAAGUUGAGGUCAAGAUAGUUUGCAGAUAGUCAGUAAGAUAAGGUCAAGGCCUUGAUAAAAUAAUGACAAUCGGCUCAGGUUAAAAUAAGGGUAGAGUAAGAAUGGGGCAGGUUUUAAGUAUAUAAAUUAAAUGCAAAUGGAGAUGUUGGAUUAAUUCUGAUAUAAUCUUUAUGAAUUAUAGUUAAAACAUAAACAUGACAGACAGUAUCUCUUGCUGAAUUCUAAACAUGUUCGCUCAAUGACUUGAGUAAUUCAAGACACUAAUAUGAGAGAUCCCAUUUUUAACAUGCUGCCAUGGUUAUGUUGAAUGUGAAGUCUUCAAGUAAGCGCCCUCAGAGUAUUUCUGGUGCUAAACUCAUUUUGCUAAAUGAUUCAGGAAUUAUUCAACUAACUGUAUUCUUUAUUCAUAGGGAUACUUGGACAAGUAUCUAUCUAGGUAAGGGACAGUAAAAAACAAAAUAGCAAAAUAUUAACUUUUUCUUGUAUGCCAUGACAUUUAGGAAACAUGCGUAUAAUUAAAAAGAGAACAUUUCCUUUUCAAUAUAUCUCUCUUUUACAUACGUAAAUCAUUCCUAAUUGAGACAAAGGGUGUUCUCCAAGAUUUAUGGUUUGUGAAAUACUGAAGGGCUAAUAAAUUUUGCCUUUUCUUGGACUGUACAAUUCAUUGUAACCAAAAGUAAAAAAACGUCUGUGUGUCCAUGUGUGAUUCUAUGGUGUUAGAAAUAUUUUUCUACACAACAAUCCACUAUUUCUGAAGAACAUUGAUUUCACAUCAGACCUAGUACAACAGGUGUCACUAUAGGUUUUUUGUGAUUAUAAAUUGUAUAAUAUUAUGUAAUGAUGCUAAAUAUGUAACCUGGAAACAAAUGAUAGCAAUAAUGGUUAUAAUGUAUUCCCACAUGGUCGAGGAGCUCCUCUGAUUUUGUGGGAAUUCAGCCCACAUAACAAGUCUACGCUACCUCUUAGGCAGCUAUAUCAUUCCACUCACCCUGAACUACACAAUGACACUCAAAUGGGGUUAUUUGCAGCAUUUAGUCAAAAGUUGCCUGCUGCCAGCCAGCCUUGGGCUAUUCACUCAUUCCUGCUUUGCACUGUCUUGGAGACAUCAAGAUGGCGGACACUCCUGUUAAUAUGCAGUGGAAGCAUCAAGUGCUCCUUCAGGGCGGAUCAAUGCCCCAGUCAGAUUUUCUUGAGGUGUUUGAUCGCAUAUGCCUGGCAUUCUGGCAGUGACUGUCGGCGCGAUCAGGUUACAGUGUACCCACACCCGAAACACCACUACUAGCCUCUGUGUAUACCUACUUACGCCACAGGUGAAUGGGGAAGCCCUCGGGGCUCCCAUUGCUGGUUAGCACAGAUUCUGAAUGAGGUGUAAAAGGGUGCCUGACCUUCUACAGGCUGCAUGCGCUUGGGUUUUUUUGAACCCCGUAGUGCCUCUUCUCCCGGAGGGUCCAUAAAAAGCAACAGACGCGUUGCUCUGCAAUGACUGGCUUUAAUAAAUUAGUCCUUCUGUGUCUUUUUCCAGGUUGAUUGAAAUAAGUCUUUUAUGUAUAUUUCUUCUUGGGUAAAAGGCUCGCCAGGUUGAUAUACGUCUAUAUUAACCAAAAAUACUAAUAUGCAAUCUGAAUUAUGUUUUUUUCAGGUUUAUUCUUACAGUUACUGAUGCAUAAUAAAACAACAAAGGACAUUACAGGAUAAUGGAUGUUCAACAGCAGAUGGUAAUUGCUGGACUCCUGAAGGGAGAGUUAGCCUACAUAGUUAGAGAAGAAGAUGAACUCCAUGCAACAAGUAGCAAGCAGCAGCAAGACCUUGUGGUCCUUUGUCCACUAUUGUAUAUAGAUAUGACCAUAAUUACAUCAGAAAAUACCCUAGCCAAAUAAGGACAAGAUACCCCAAUCCACAUCCCAGACUUCUCAUACAAAGAAAGCCUUGUGACUGUGAUAUCAUCUAUUACUUAUGUCAAUCCAGACAUCCAUAUUUUUUCAAUAGAAACAUAGAAUAUGCAAUAUUCUACAUUCCCUUUGUUUAUGGUUUGUCCCUUCCUCUUCCCACUGUCUCCCCUAUUCCGCUCCCCUCGUCUCCAAUAUAUACCCCUUUGGUUUAUGUGCUGGACCAGCAGCAUACAACUCAUCCCCCUUCUACAUUCUCUAAGUGGGUUAAGCCCGUGUAAAGCAAAUACAAUGUAACUUAAGCUUGCGUGCGGUAUGUUCCACAUUCUGUCCCAUGUUACAAGUGCCUCAGUCCAUGGCUCAGGUAGGUCGGGCCCUUUGUUCUGCCCAGUCUCCAGGUAGUAGGUUGAGAGUUCCUGGGCUGCUGCCUGGGAGGUGGAUAUCACCUGGUACCGCUAUAUCCAGGUCGCGCAGGAAAGUUGGUAUGUCCAUUGAUGGCUGGGAAUUAGCUGGUUACAGUCCCAAUUAGGAAGCUUAGGGUGCAGAGCAGUGGAUCUAUGUGACCAUUAUACUCGGUGGUCAAACCACUCCUGCUCCAAUCCAAUCCAAUCCAAUCCAAUCCAAUUUUUUUUAUUUUUUAUAAGACAGUCUUACAGAAAGGAAAAUUGGUGAAGUAAAAACACAUAGUCAUAACAUCAGUUUAAACAUUUGCUAACAUGCACAAUAGAUACAGGUGUUAUCAUCAUGUCAAUACCGUUAUAAUAUGGUCUGGUGUUCGGUGGGAGUCUCACGGGUGGUGAGAGAGCUAGAUCCGUCUGCCAUGGCUCCUUUAGAGGCAGGGGCCUGGUCGAGGCGUUGGUCCUUAAUAGAGUCAGGCAACAGUUCGGCUCAGAAUGGUAAUGCCAGUCAGAGGUAUUGUUUGUAGAAUAAGUGUGCCUUGGAUGCAUUUGUUGGCUGACUUUAGGGAGGUACCCCAAUGAGGGUUCACGGGUGUCAAAGGUACAGAUGUGCAGGGGUAUGUUGGCGAGUGGGUUCUUGUUGUAUUGUUUCAGUAGUGGGGGGUAUCAGAAGAGGAGGAAGAUGAAUAGAGGCAGAGGGGAGGGUUGGGCGGGUGGGGAGAGAGAAAGUUGAGGAAGAGAAAAAGAAAAAAGUGGGGGGAAGUGCCACCCAUUUGGAGAUCCCCACGGAUCCCGCUGAGGAGGUGAGGGGUAGAGGGGGGAGGGUGUUCAGUUGGCCUUCAUGUUCCUGGUGUUAUUCUUAAUGGUCGUUGAUCAUGCAGGCGCAUGAGGGUGGUGUUUCCCUCCAACCACGGAUCUCAGAUUUUGUGGAAUGAGUUCAGUGUGUUUUGUGUCUGGGCUGUUAGUUUAUCCAUAUCUAUGCUGUCAGUUAUUUUGUGGUGGAUUUGGGCAUGGGUAGGUAUAUGGGGGUGGACCAAGCUUCUGCUAUUGCUCUGUGGGUAGCUAGGGCUAUUCGGGCAAUGAGUUUGUUUUUGUUGCGAGUGAAGGGGUCAUUGGGUUUCGAGAGUAGCAGUGCCCUGGGUUCUAGGGGGACUGGUCUGGCGACCAGUCUUGUUAAGAGGUAUGAGAUGCUCUUCCAGAGGAGUAUGAGCUUAGGAUAUGUCCACCAGCAAUGGCUGAAUGUCCCUGUUUCACCGCACAUUUUCCAGCAGAUGUUGGUGGGGAUGCGUUUCAUUGCUGUUAAGGCCCUUGGCGUUAAUAGAAUUACAAUGUAGCUCGAGUGGCAUCUCUAUGUGAGGUCUGCUGGGAUACCGCUGCCAACUAUGGGAGGAGGGUUGGAGUGGUUGCUGGGAUGGGGGCCGGGGGACCUGGUGGGUCCCGACCGGCGGUGCGGGUGAGUAGAGAGAACGAAAAUGUGUGUAGGUGCUGGGCUUACUACAGGUGUCAACCGGGGUGGUCUGUGUUGCCUUCGGUCCCUUAGACCUUGGAGCCCGGGGUCCGGUGACAAGAAACAGGUAGUGCGGGGGGAGUGGUCAACCUCCAGAGAGGGGCAGGCUAUGGUGAUAGGGCAGGUAUUUUUCUGGUUACAGUACCGGGUUAGCGGGAACGUGAGGGGUGAGGGCCAGGAUCACAUCCCCAUGGCUCCCCAUUACCCACGCCGAGAGUCGGUCAGGGGGAAGGGGGCGCUGCAAGGUCAGCAAUAAGGAGCAAACAUAGUAAACAUGUCAAACUUAUAUACAUUUUUACACAUCACACUCUGCCACAGGGAGUAGUAUGUUCUGAAUAGCAAUACAGCAGUCACCCAGCUCGGACCGUCUUAUUUGUUUGUGUUAUGAAUCAGCACUGUUAAGUUUAAGUGUACGGGGGUAGCUGUGCCAUACAGAUGGGUUAAAAAAGACAGUGUAAUCGGUAUCCUCGGCACUGCAAAGCUAUACCAGACAUCAGGACCCCAAGUGGGCAUCCCCGUGUCCGCAGUCAGGGACGUCGCGCCCCUCCCCACCCACGGAGGAGGGAGAGAAGGAGCAAGCGCCCCCCUGCGACGCACCCCACACCCCAAGGCAUCCCAACAGUGCCUGAGGGAUCCGUGUAACUGAGUCUUGAACACAACUGUUCACUGGCCGGUUAAGGUGUACUAAAGGCACACAGAUCAUUCCGCAAGGGCCCCAGGGCUGGUGCAUUCGGUGACAUAGCUGCCCUGAUCCUUGAUGUGUUUAACAACUGUGCGGCUCAUGGGGAACCCCCGGGCACCCUAUCAGGGAGGGCACAGCUGGUUUCGGGAUUACUAGUGGCCCACUCUCAGUGGGCCACAGAGCCCCAGCAGUGCCAGGGGGGGAAACCAUCCCGGGCAGGAUGGGGGGAGACACUCUGCAUUCUGUGGCAAGGCUGAAUGAACUGUACAUGCAUAGCAAUACAUAAUACCUAGUAACGAGUGUAUCUCACGGUUUCCGUGCAGUCGUGGUAGUCGAUAGUGUGGUUUCCACUAGAUUGUGAGGAGGUUUGGCAGGGCGUUGUCCUCUGAGGUGUCCGCAGUCUCACAGGGGUAGCAGUUCCCACACGUGGCACAGGGGGGCCAGCUGCUGAGAGGUAGAUGGUAGGUCCAGGUGCAGGUCCUGGAGGCCUAGUUGCAUGCGAGGUCUCGUGCUUCAGAUGGUCUGUAUAGAGUGUAGGUUUGAUUCUCAUUCCUCACCAUCAGUUUACAUGGGUGGCCCCAGGAGUAUCCUAUCCUUCGUGAUUGUAAUGCUUCGGUCAGGGGUCUCAGUUCUCUUUGCUUGAGUAAAGUGGAAGGCGCCAGGCCGUGGUAUAAUUGGACUGUGUGGCCUUCAAUUUGUCCUCAAUUCCUGAUGUGCAUGUUCUAGGAGGGCCAUGGUGGUUUCAUGGGUGCUGGUCGUAGCAGAUACUUCUUUUAGCCUGUCCUCCAGCUCGUGGGUGCACUUGGAGAGGUCAGCUAGGCCUUCUUUGAUCUGGGCCAUGUUUGGUGAGUUCUGAAGCCACUAGGGAUUUCAUGUCUGCCAGUAGGUCUUUCAAGUCCAUUUUAGUGAGGGGUGAGGACUCCAUCCUGUGGCUGGCUGUGCUAGCUUCGGAAUCCGAGUCUGAGGCCUGCUGGCUGACUGCACGUGGUGGUUCUCUGUCAGGCCUGUUUCUGAAUAUCGAGGCUAUGGCAGAGCCAGACUUAGUUUUCCAUCCUCCCCAUGUCUUUUAGCUCCUGUAGGGUUCAGGCUUGUGCUGGAGGGUCUGUGGCUCAAUUGUGGGCUUGUUUGCCGCUGGAGAUGGCUAAUUAUUGCCUGCCACCAAAAAGCCUCUCUAGAACGCGGCCAUCUUCAUCAGUGAUCAAGCUCUGCCUCCAAUCCAAUUUUUUAAGUUUAAAUCUGGUAUAUUACCUUGUAUAGUAGUGAUGGGGAUAUCUUAAGCGAUUUUGUCUAAUAUCCCAUUCUUCUUUCUAUACUUAAACCAAUCAUAAUAUAAUUCCUUUAAAUAAGUAUAUUCAGUUGAUAACAUGAACUUAGUACUUGCUCCCUCAUCGAGCCAAAUAAAGGCAGGGAGAUCCCUAACCUUCAGUAGUGACAACUCUACCUUAUACCAUGGCUCAUCAGCUAUCUUCUUAAAUGAGAAAUCCUACUUGCAUCAUAAUAUCUAGUAAUGUUUGGGAUCGCUAAACUCCCUUUAUUGGUUUUCUUCAAUAAAUGUGAAGCUGAAAUUAUAGGCUUCUUAGAACCCCAUAUAUAAUUCAUAAAGAAUUUAUAGAAGUGUUUCAAUUUAAUUAGAGAUAUAGAUAAAGGUAACAUCCUGAAAACAUAGGACCAUUUGGGAAGGAUAUAUGAUUUGAUAACAUUACUUCUUCCCAACCAAGAGAUACCAAUGUUUUUCAUUCCUACAAUAAUUUUGCACUAGUAUCUUUAAGAAGGAUCUCAACUAGAGUUCGUACCGAGUUCGUACCGAAUAUUUUACGUUUUUUGGACCCCGGACCCGAACACGGACAUAUCACUGUAUGUUCGGGUUGGAGUUCGGUGUUCGGCGAUUUAAUGGCGUGUUUUCAAAGGCUGCAGGGCAGCCAAUCAACAAGCAUUUGACUUGUGUGCCCUUAGAAACCAUCACAGCCAUGCCUACUAAUGGCAUGGCUGUGAUUGGCCAGUACAGCCUGUGACCCAGCCUCUAUAUAUAAGCUGGAGUUGCGUAGCACAGCACGCACAUGAGGUCUUACUAGUGUAGGGAGAGGAUGCUUAUGAAAGAAUUCUGCAAACUAGUGCAUUAGUGGGGUGCACUUCAUAUCUGAAAGUCAAAUAGAAGCUUCAAAUACCGCGUUUACAUCAGAGUUUUAAAAAGUAAUUUUUUUUUAUGCUAAAUAGUACAUUAGUGGGAUAGUACAUUAGUGGGGUGCACUUCAUAUCUGAGAGUCAAAUAGAAUCGUCAAAUACUGCUGUCACAUUGCAGUUUAAAAACAAAUUGUUUUGGGCACUAAUUAGUGGGGUGCACUUCAUAUCUGCGCAGCGCAGUUGUAAAAAUUCUAAUUUUCUGGGUGCUAAUCUGCUAAGUAGUACAUUUUGCGGCCAGCACUUCAUAUCUGAGAGUCAAAUAGAAGCGUCAAAUACUGCGGGUACAGCGCAAUUGUAAACAUUCUAAUUGUUUUGCUGCUAAACUGCUAAAUAGUACAUUUUGGGCGUGCUCUUCAUAUCUGAGAGUCAAAUAGAAGCGUCAAAUAGUGCGCUUACAGCGCAGUUGUAAAAAUUCUUAUUUUCUGGGUGCUAAUCUGCUAAAUAGUAAAUUUUAGGCGUGCUCUUCAUAUCUGAGAGUCAAAUAGAAGUGUCUAAUAGUGCGCUUACAGCGCAGUGGUAAACAUUCUAAUUGUUUUGCUGCUAAUCUGAUAAAUAGUACAUUUUGGGGCCUGCUCUUCAUAUCUGAGAGUCAAAUAGAAGCGUCAAAUAGUGCGCUUACAGCGCAGUUGUAAAAAUUCUUAUUUUCUGGGUGCUAAUCUGCUAAAUAGUAAAUUUUAGGCGUGCUCUUCAUAUCUGAGAGUCAAAUAGAAGUGUCUAAUAGUGCGCUUACAGCGCAGUGGUAAACAUUCUAAUUGUUUUGCUGCUAAUCUGAUAAAUAGUACAUUUUGGGGCCUGCUCUUCAUAUCUGAGAGUCAAAUAGAAGCGUCUAAUAGUGUGUUUACAGCGCAGUUGUAAAAAUUCUAAUUUUCUGGGUGCUAAUCUGCUAAAUAGUACAUUUUGCGGCCUGCACUUCAUAUCUGAGAGUCAAAUAGAAGCGUCAAAUACUGUGGUUACAUCGCAAUUGUAAACAUUCUAAUUGUUUUGCUGCUAAACUGCUAAAUCGUACAUUUUGGGCGUGCUCUUCAUAUCUGAGAGUCAAAUAGAAGCGUCAAAUACUGCUGUCACAUUGCAGUUUCAAAAGUUAAAAUGUUUUUGGUGCUAGACUGCUAAAUAGUAUUUUAGUGGGGUGCACUUCAUGUCUGAGAGUCAAAUAGAAGUGUCUAAUAGUGUGUUUACAGCGCAGUUGUAAAAAUUCUAAUUUUCUGGGUGCUAAUCUGCUAAAUAGUACAUUUUGGGGCCUGCUCUUCAUAUCUGAGAGUCAAAUCGAAGUGUCUAAUAGUGUGCAUACAGCGCAGUUGUAAAAAUUCAAAUUUUCUGGGUGCUAAUCUGUUAAAUAUUAAAUUUGGGGUGUGCUCUUCAUAUCUGAGAGUCAAAUAGAAGCGUCAAAUACUGCGGUUACAGAGCAAUUGCAAACAUUUUAAUUGUUUUGCUGCUAAACUGCUAAAUAGUACAAUUUGGGGCGUGCACUUCAUAUCUGAGUGUCAAAUAGAAGCGUCUAAUAGUGCGCUUACAGCACAGUGGUAAACAUUCUAAUUGUUUUGCUGCUAAUCUGAUAAAUAGUAUAUUUUGGGCGUGCUCUUCAUAUCUGAGAGUCAAAAAGAAGCGUCAAAUAGUGCGCUAACUGCGCAGUUGUUAAAAAUUCUUAUUUUCUGGGUGCUAAUCUGCUAAAUAGUACAUUUUGGGCAUGCUCUUAAUAUCUGAGAGUCAAAUAGAAGCGUCUAAUAGUGCGCUUACAGCGCAGUGGGAAAAAUUUAAUUGUUUUGCUGCUAAUCUGCUAAAUAGUACAAUUGUGACCUGCGGUCCACUUCAUAUCUGAGAGUCGAAUAGAAGCGUCAAAUAGGGCGCUUACUGUACAGUUGCAAACAUUCUAAUUGUUUUGCUGCCAAUCUGCUGCUUACAUUGGAGUUUUAAAAAGUCAAAUUUUUUUUGUGCUAAAUAGUAUAUUUGGGGUGUUCACUUCAUAUCUGAGAGUCAAAUCGAAGCGUAACUUUGAUUCGAAUUUACUACACCGGUCACUUGUAAUAUUGUUUCACAUCUCCAACACUUGUUACACAGAUCUAAGUGAUAGAAAACAGAUUGAUGUUUUCUACACUAGAAACUACCAGAUAACAAGCUGCUAUAUUUAAACCAGUGAUCAAUAGUUAAGAGGUACUUCAACAAUAUUGUAAUUCUGGGGCAAUACCCUCACAAAUCAAACUGAGAGGUCAGUUUAUAGGGAAAACUGUUGCCUGGAUACAAUUCUAAAACAAUUUCCAUAUGUCCUUUGCAGACUUUACAGGUGCCAACUGCUGUGGCUUUCUGCAGUGUGCAUACCGGCAAGGAGGGCAGGGUUGAGGAGUGGGUGGAAGAUGAUGUGGAGGAUGAUGAGGUCCUAGACCCCACAUGGAAUCAAGGUCAUGCAAGUGACGUGUGCAGUUUGGAGGAAGAGGCACUGGUCGCACAGAGGCACCAGCACAGCAUAAGAAGGUACAGGGUGCAAAAGCGGAGUGGCCGUCCCCUAGCGCUCGUCGGCAUGUAUUAGCUUGAGAAUUACCAGUUAUCCAAGUAAUACAUGUAGCGAUCAAAGGAUCCAUAAUAGAGUUGAGCGAACCUGAACUGCCACGUUCGGGUUUGUACCAGAUUUAAUGAUCCAUUCGUAGUUUCACAGUCAGGUGGGCAGUCCGGUGACCAGGACCCAGACACUGUCUGGGUGGCGAUCGGACGACCGGGACCCAGUUUGCCUGAUGUUAAAGUUAAGAGUCACAAUGUGGAAUGGAUUAGCAGGGUCUGUUGCAGGGUAACCGCACGCCCCCCGGUGUUGAGCACCAGCAUUUGUGUGGCCACAUACCAGGACCCUGAUGCAGCUUCAGUAAAAAGAGUACUGGAUACCAGAAGCCAUCACCAGACUGAUCCGCAACUUGGAACAGGAUGUGACUGCUCGCCUGUCUGCACUGCAGCAUAACUUCAGCCUUCCCGCUCACCGUCUCAUGAGACUGUGCGAGCAGCAGGCGAUAGUGGAGUUUCAGCUGCAGCACGCAUGGGUCAGUGGCUCCUCAACCUAUGGGUCACUUAGUAUAAACUAGGUACACAUUAGCAGAGGCUUGUGAAGGCCUUUUCUCCAUGCAACAGGAGUUGAGCAUUUCUCCAUGCAUCAGGACUGCAAGAAAUGCACCACAGGCCGCAAAUGUUUCUUUUUUUUGUAUGUCCCAAAAUUUUGUGGGCUACCACAAUUAAAAAACAAAACAAAACAUAAAAAACAGUGUUGGCUACCUCAUCCUCCUCCUACACCGCUGCUUCCACCUACACCGCUACGGUCACCGCCUCCUCAACCUCCUCAACCUCAGCCUCCUCACUUAGUAUAAACUAUGUACACAAUAGCAGAGACUUGUGAAGGCCUUUUCUCCAUGCAUCAGGAGUUGAGUUCAGUUUGAACAAUGAAAGAGAAUGCCCUGCACUCCAACCCUCUCUCUAAUGGAUAAUUCUUGUGAUCCUCCUGACAGCCAUGCUUUAGAUUUCGAUUUAUGUUCUUCCAAAGCUAAAAUCAAAGAUUCCAUCUAGUGCUAUUUUAUGGCUCAGCUGUAUUUUUAUGUUAUUUUAAGUGAUUUCCCUAUCCACAUUUGUUUGCAGGGCACUUGUCCUACUCUUACCCUCAUUUUACUUCCUUUUGCAGCUCUCUAGCCCUUUCCAGGAGUUUUUUAGAGGCAUUUUUGUGGCCAAAUGUUUGGGUCCCCAUUGACUUCAAUGGCGUUCAGGGUCAAGUUUGAGCCCGAACCUGGACUUUUUUUCAAACUUCUGCCGAACACGCCGGACCCGAACAUCGAGAUGUCCGCUCAACUCUAAUCUCAACGUUUUUAAAACACAUUUUAGUUAUAUUCUGAGAAAAAUAAAUACCUAAAUACAUAAGGCCAUCUGUGGUCCAUGCAAAAGGAUAUUCCAAUCUUAGAAUCUCCCUUACCGUAAGACUGAGAUUUAUUUGAGAUUUUGCCAUAUUGACUUUAUAAUAAGAAACAUCACUGUACCUUUUAACUUCUGCAACCAAAGUGGCCAAAGAGGCUACUGGGUUUGUCAGGGUAAGAAUGAUAUUGUCUGCUUAUAAGUACAACUUAUGGUCAGUGUCAUCCAAUAUACACCCUGUUCCAAAUUAUUAUGCAAAUUCUAUUUAAGUGUCACAAAGAUUAAAUAUUUAGUUUUUCAGUUUAACUCAUGGAUGGCAUUGUGUCUCAGGGCUCUUUUGAUCACUGAAAACAAUAUUGGACACCUGUGAUAAUUAGAUUGCCAGGUGAGCCCAAUUUAAGGAAAAACUACUAAAGGAGUGUGUUCCACAUUAUUAAGCCGAGCACCAUUUUCAUGCAAUAUGGGGAAGAAAAAGGAUCUCUCUGCUGCCAAAAAGAGUGAAAUAGUUCAAUGCCUUGGACGAGGUAUGAAAACAUUAGAUAUUUCACGAAAACUUAAGCAUGAUCAUAGCACUAUUAAGAGAUUUGUGGCUGAUUCAGAGCAAAGACGAGUUUGUGCAGAUAAAGGCACAUUGAGGAAGAUUUCUGCCAGAUCCAUGCAUCGGAUCACGAGAGCAGCUGCUAAAAUACCAUUACAUAGCAGCAAACAGAUAUUUGAAGCUGCUUGUGCCUCUGGAGUCCCACGGACAUCAAGGUGUAGAGUCCUCCAGAGUCUUGCAACUGUGCAUAAACCUUCUAUUUGGCCACCACUAACCAAUGCUCACAAGCAGAAAUGGCUGCAUUGGGCAGAAAAAUACAUGAAGACUAAUUUUCAAACAGUCCUGUUGACAGAUGAGUGCCGUGCAAACCUGGAUGGUCCAGAUGGAUGGAGCAGUGGAUGGUUGGUGGACGGCCACCCUGUUUCAACAAGGCUACGAUGUCAGCAAGGCGGUGGUGGAGUCAUGCUUUGGGCCGGAAUCAUGGGAAGAGAGCUGGUCGGCACCUUUAGGGUCCCCGAAGGUGUAAAGAUGACCUUUGCAAAGUAUGUGGAGUUUCUGACUGACCACUUUCUUCCCUGGUACAGAAGGAAGAACUAUGCUUUCCGUAAAAAAAUCAUCUUCAUGCAUGACAAUGCACCAUCUCAUGCUGCAAAGAAUACCUCUGCAUCAAUGGCUGCUAUGGGGAUAAAAGGAGAGAAAGUCAUGGUGUGGCCUCCAUCCUCCCCUGACCUCAAUCCUAUUGAGAACCUUUGGAGCAUCCUCAAGCAAAAGAUCUAUGAGGGUGGGAGGCAGUUUACAUCAAAACAGCAGCUCUGGGAGGCUAUUCUGACAUCUUGCAAACAAAUUCAAGCAGAAACUGUCCAAAAACUCACAAGUUCAAUGGAUGCAAGACUUGUGAAGCUGCUAUCAAAUAAGGAGUCCUAUAUUAAAAUGUAACGUGACCUGUUAAAAUGUUUAAAAAGUCAAAAUGUUGUUAAAAGUUUGAUUGAAAUAGCUUUUGAUUUCAGUAAAUAUGCUGCAAACACAACAAAUGACAAUUCUCAGUUCUUUACAACCUAUAAAGUGUUUUGAAACGUACUGUGCGUAAUAAUUUGGAACAGUACAUUGUAUGUUUUUUAUGUUUUAAAAAAAUACUGUUAUCAGGAGGUUUGUUCAAUAAAAUGUGAAUUGUACUCUUAAUAGUUGAUAAUAUGAGAAUUAUGCUGACUGUUAUUUACAUCAGUUAGGUAAAUGAGAAAAAUAUCAUUUGCAUAAUAAUUUGGAACAGGGUGUAACGCCCUUAAUUUGAGAAUUAGCUCUUAUAUUGGCUGCCAAUGGCUCCAGAGAUAAGCAAAGGGGCCAGUGGACAGCUCUGUCUGGUACCAUUUUGAAAUUCUAAGCAAGUCGGCUGAAAUGCCUGGAUCCACAGUCGCUGACCUUAUUGGACCAUUAAAUCCAAAUUUCUCUAGAAUCUUAGCCAUAAAUCCCCAGCUGAACCUGUCAAAUGCCUUUUCGACAACCAGAGACAGGGCCAGCAGGGGCACACCAUUCCUGAACGAGUGGUCAAUUAGAUCUAAUAAUCGUCGAGUGUUGCUAUUUGAGGGACGGCCCUGAACAAAGCCAAUUUGAUCUUGGUGCACUAGGAAUGGAUUUGGAGGUUUUAAUGUAUUAACUAUUACUGAGGAGUAGAUUUUAAUAUCGGAAUUGAUCAAGGAUAUUGGUUUAAAAUUUGCGGUGGAAGUGUGAUCCUUGCCCACUUUUCAGAUUGGAGAGAUGGAGGCCUGCAACAACUCUUUUGGUAUUGAGAUUAUCAAUUACAUUCACUAUUUCUUUUUCAGAAAAAGGUAAAUUUAAAUCAACUAUUUGUUCAUUUGGUAGUCUGGAGAGAACUGGUCUUGCUACAGGGGUUCAUUUACCGAACCAAUUAUGUGUGGGUCCCCAGAUUCUUGUUGUAUUUUGCUCACUCUGUGCCCAUUAUAGGUGCAGGAUAUGUUAAAUGUAUUGCUUGUCUGUGCCUCUUCCCCUCCCCCUUUUUCCUGUCCCAUUGUUUCCCAGCAGGGCGUUGUCCCAGGAACACUGCCAGACCUGUUUAAACUAGCUGCCCUAUCCCUCAUCAGCCCUUGCUAUUGUCUGACUCCAUCCUUCCUUGUACUAUAGUAAUCUAUGUUCUCUAUUGUAUGUAAAUGAGGCUGUUGGGGGUUUUAAACUAUGUGUGCUAUGCCUAAUAAAAAUCAGUUGACUCCCAGAACUGCAUGUCGUCCAGUUACUGGGGGAUUGUGUCUUGGAUAUUGACCUGCUGCUUCAGCUACAUGGGCAUUUAAGUGGAGAUAUUGAUGGUAUGUCUUGUAGCUCCGCAAUAAUGGUUUUAUGAGAAAAUAAUCCAGCCGCGAGUAUGACAUAUGUAGGUUAGAAAAAAAGGUGAAAUCUAGUUCAUCUGGAUGCAUUACUCUCCAGAUGUCAUAAAGUUUGAAUUUAUUUGAUAUAUUCUGAAACUCGGUGUCAGAUCUUCAUAUAGGGUUAUGUUUUUUUUUUGGCCGGCUUGAAACUUUUUUAUCCAUGUGACGGUUACCCCUAUAGAGUGAGGGUAUCUACCGUCUGGACAUCCUUCUUCCCAUAGAUAGAGAGUGUUGCAGAGUUCCGACCCGAUAUCCUGUGGAGCUGGUAUAGCUAUAUAGCUGAAGAGAGCUACAACAAGAGCUAGCAGUGAUAUUGCAGUUCCCUACAACACGAGACGAGGCUGCGAGUUGAGGGUAAGAAGGUCUGGUUUAUUGAGCACAAACGCAUUUCUUUUAUACACAUUUUCAGGCCAGAGGCACACCCUCUGGACCUGAUGGAACACAGGGACAAAAGGGACACAAACCAAUAGGAACUUAAUUAUCCACAGGCAGAAAAUAUAAAUUUUUACCCAAAGUUCAGAAACACGCCAAAACUCAAACAUAUCCCCACAAAUUAUACAUCCCUGGUUAGCUCUGAUAUGGGCGAACGACAUAUCCAAAAAUCACCCAGAUCAGAGCAGGGGUUCAAAAGUUUUAUGGAAGUCUCUUUUGACCGACCACAAGCAUGGCUUUCAUGCCCAAAAUAGUUCAGUUCGACUGCACGAACGGGGUAGUUUGUGCAAAUAACCAAGUUUAAAGUGUUGUUCGUAAUGUCGAAUGCUGUUCGACUCCCAUCGAAGGGUCAAAGUUCUGGAGAAGGUAAAGUUCAGCGGUGUUCGUGCCGUAGCAUGUCCAAUUUGAGUUCCAUGAACUCAACAACCAAACACCGCUGAACGCGCUAGACUGAAUUAAAAUGGCCGCCGCCAUGUGUUCGUAUGUCAAAUGGCGGCCACUUCGACUACUUCGGUACUUCGGCUGUAUCCGAAGUGCCACUUCAAAGGUGUAGAACGGUUCCAAUAUAUAUUAAAGGGGCAGAACCAGUGCCUUAAAUAAACCACCAUAACUACUGCAAUCACAGAGGGGUUUUGUUACAAUCCAUAACUGAAUCAAUGAUAGAAUUAAAGUCGCCUCCUAUGAAUAGAGUUCCCUGCACCAGUUUCUCCACCCUAGUUAAAAGAUUAUUUAAGAAUUUCAGCGGAUGCUUGUUAGGGGCAUAAAUGUUGAGCAACAAAUAAAUUCUGCCAUGAAUUUCGCAAAUUAAAAAGAUAUAUCUGCUGUUCUCCCCUAUUACCCUGUGAUCUUAUUUGAGAUUAGAAUAGCUACACCGCGUUUCUUAGAUUUAUAAGCCGUUGAGACAACAACUGGGUAAUAAGAGCUCUUCAGCAUAGGGGCUGUGGCGAAACCAACCUCGCCACUGUGAACUGGAGAAGCCUGGUUGCUCGCCUGCUCCCUUUGGACUAUGGCCCUGCAGGUUAAACCGUUUAUUUCCCCUGCAGAAAGGCUUAUUUGUGUGAUCUGAGUGCCAUUCAUCUAAUAAUGUGCACUCAGAUCCCAGCUAUCUGGGGAUAUGUGAAAUGUCUGUGUGUUAUGUGUAAAUGUGACUUUAUGUAUUUUAAAGUGUUUUGUGUCUUUUUGCAACCAUGUGCUUAAUGGAGUCUUGUGUCUAUCCUGGGAGAUAAUUGAAUUACUCUCCAGGAUAGAAGACUCUGAAACUGGUUUGGGCCAGAAAGCCAUGCUUCAUUUAGUCACAAAGGACUUUCCCUUAACUUUUGAACCCCUGGUCUGAUUCGUGCCAUUUUUAAUAUGUUGUUCCCCUGAAUGGAUUGAUUAUGAAAAUGUAUGUUUUAUGUUUGUGACAUGUAUAUUUUAGAAGUUAGAAAUAUUGUGUAAAAACUGUAUUCCUCUGCCGGUGAUAAUGAGAUUACCCAUUGUGUUCAGUAAUCAUAUCACCUGCAGAGGGGAGGAUUUUGUGUGGGAGUGUCUGGGUGUAUUGUACGGAUUGAUUGGUUGUUUUGUAACGCCCUGUGGGCUGUACUAUGUUUGUGGAUUGGGAAUAAAAGAGACUGUAUGUGACAGUACAGGGAGUUCCUGUUUUAACCCUCAAAGUGAAGUGUCGUCUCAUUAUUGGGGGAAGGAUUUAUUGUAUGCUGUUCCAGUUUGACUGCUAGGAGAGUAAACCUAUUCGCAUGGUUCCUAUUCAACUGUCUACAGCAUUCAUAUGCUUGAGAGAAGGUAUACGCUUCUCGGUUUGGUGAUUGUGGUGUCUGCUGCAGUGCUUGGAGUCCUCAGGAAGCGCUAGGAGCAUCCUUCAACGGAGGUACCCAGUCGGGGUGCCAGGCAAUCCGUUACAUUGGUGGCAAGCGGUGGGAUGGCGUCCUAGUGCGAGGUAAAGCAGCUCAGAGACACAGUUCGUGGAGUUACAAAUUGAGGGCAACGCUAGCACACGUGCAGCGCCCCUGGGAGCAGAGGUAUCCAGCGACUUGAAGCAGACAAGUAUGGAAGGCUCUGGCGAUGAUUGGAUGGCCGAGGUGAGGCAGCGAGUGGCCCAGUAUGGGGAUGAUUUAUCCAUGGAGGUACGCCGGGUGAUCUGGAACCAGGUCACGGCCGAGCGAAACACAAGGCUGGCCCGAGAAUUCCGGCUGGCGAAAGAGAGAGUAUGCUCAGCGGAAGGAGUGUUACAGCAGCCGAGUAGAGGCUGCAUCCGAGGAGGCUAGCCGUCUCCCCCUGAGGCGGCCGCAGGAACCCGAAGUAGGGGUCCUCAUAGACUGGUCCUGUGAGGAACCACAACAGGCAGGUGGAGAUGGGACCGGCCCAGAUCCCCAGCAGCAGCCGGAGUUGCCAGGUGCGGAAGCAGGUGGUCCUUACACGCAAAUGUUGAGGGACCUCACAGACUGGUCCUGGGAAGACCCACAGAUGGCAGGUGGAGAUGGGACGGCGGUCUCUCUACCGGCCCUACAGGGAUGCUGGGUGGUCGGCCCAGAUCUCCAGCGGCAGUAUGUAUCCCAGGGAGCUGAAGGUGCAGUCCUUCCUCCCCAGCGGCAGUGUGUACCCCAGGGAGCUGAAGGUGCAGUCCUUCCUCCCCAGCGGCAGUGUGUACCCCAGGGAGCUGAAGGUGCAAUCCUUCCUCCCCAGCGGAAGUGUGUAUCCCAGGGAGCUGAAGGUGCAAUCCUUCCUCCCCAGCGGCAGUGUGUAACCCAGGGAGCUGAAGGUGCCGUCCUUCCUCCCCAGCGGCAGUGUGUACCCCAGGGAGCUGAAGGUGCCGUCCUUCCUCCCCAGUGGCAGUGUGCAUCCCAGGGAGCUGAAGGUGCCGUCCUUCCUCCCCAGCAGCAGUGUGUACCCCAGGGAGCUGAAGGUGCCGUCCUUCCUCCCCAGCGGCAGUGUGUACCCCAGGGAGCUGAAGGUGCAGUCCUUCCUCCCCAGCGGCAGUGUGUACCCCAGGGAGCUGAAGGUGCCGUCCUUCCUCCCCAGCGGCAGAGUGUCCUGCAGGGAGCAGAGACCGCCAGUCUCGCACCCCAACCACAGGACAAAAUAAUGAAAGGGGAGACAGCUGGUCCCCCUCUCCACCAGCAGAGAGAGUGUCAGGGAGAGGAGCCUGAUACCCCUCCUCCCCAGCGGCAGUUUACAGUUCAGAGAGAGGAGCUUGUUACACCCUCUCUCCAGCGGCAGCCUAACCCAGCAAGGGGAGAUGUUACACCCCCCAACAGUGCAGAUGGGACUGUAGUCUCUGCACUUACAGCACAAGGGAUAGGGACAGUCGGUCCUGUUCCCCAGCCACAGAGCGGUGUAUCCAGAGGGGAGACAGUCGGUCUCUCCCUCCCACAACCAGGCUCCCACCAGGCUACUUCCGUGGUAGCACUGGCAUCAGGGCAGAGUACCGCUGGUCUCUGCCCACUCAGCAACCCACCAAGGCAGCCUAACAGUUGCCCACACAGUCGUGGUGAGGCACCUGGACAUGGACAAAUUUCUCCUCUACCCAGGUGUAGUAACCAGUUAUUGUGGGUGGCCUGUACUGCUGUUUCUGUUUUGUGGGUGGGUUGCUGGACUAACCAGGGCACUGACCGGCAGGAGGUCAGAUACCCUGUUAGUCUAGUUGGUAAAGGGGAGAAGUGUGGCGAAACCAACCUCGCCACUGUGAACUGGAGAAGCCUGGUUGCUCGCCUGCUCCCUUUGGACUAUGGCCCUGCAGGUUAAACUGUUUAUUUCCCCUGCAGAAAGGCUUAUUUGUGUGAUCUGAGUGCCAUUCAUCUAAUAAUGUGCACUCAGAUCCCAGCUAUCUGGGGAUAUGUGAAAUGUCUGUGUGUUAUGUGUAAAUGUGACUUUAUGUAUUUUAAAGUGUUUUGUGUCUUUUUGCAACCAUGUGCUUAAUGGAGUCUUGUGUCUAUCCUGGGAGAUAAUUGAAUUACUCUCCAGGAUAGAAGACUCUGAAACUGGUUUGGGCCAGAAAGCCAUGCUUCAUUUAGUCACAAAGGACUUUCCCUUAACUUUUGAACCCCUGGUCUGAUUCGUGCCAUUUUUUAAUAUGUUGUUCCCCUGAAUGGAUUGAUUAUGAAAAUGUAUGUUUUAUGUUUGUGACAUGUAUAUUUUAGAAGUUAGAAAUAUUGUGUAAAAACUGUAUUCCUCUGCCGGUGAUAAUGAGAUUACCCAUUGUGUUCAGUAAUCAUAUCACCUGCAGAGGGGAGGAUUUUGUGUGGGAGUGUCUGGGUGUAUUGUACGGAUUGAUUGGUUGUUUUGUAACGCCCUGUGGGCUGUACUAUGUUUGUGGUGGGAAUAAAAGAGACUGUAUGUGACAGUACAGAGAGUUCCUGUUUUAACCCUCAAAGUGAAGUGUCGUCUCAUUAUUGGGGGAAGGAUUUAUUGUAUGCUGUUCCAGUUUGACUGCUAGGAGAGUAAACCUAUUCAUAUGGUUCCUAUUCAACUGUCUACAGCAUUCAUAUGCUUGGGAGAAUUUAUUUGUUUCUCCGGUUCGGUGAUUGUGGUGUCUGCCAGAGUGCUUGGAGUCCUCAGGAAGCGCUAGGAGCAUCCUUCAACGGAGGUACCCAGUCGGGGUGCCAGGCGAUCCGUUACAGGGGCAUUGUGUUUCCAAAGAGUCUCCUGUAAGAAUCCGAUCGACACCUUAAGGACCCUUAAUUGUUCUACUACUAGCUGACAUUUCUGUGGGUAAUUUAGUACUAGUGGGUAAUAAUACCUCCCCAACUGACCAGUUCCUGUCAGUGUAAGAGAUAACAAAACAUUUAAUUAUCCAAACCUUAUUAGAUUUAUGAAAAGACAAACACAACCCCUUGUGGUGAAAGUCAUAACAGAACAGUUACAAUUUAUAUCUGAACAAUUGUUUUACUCCUUAAGUGAUUAAUGUGCUUAACCCCUUAAGGACAGAGCUUCAAAAGCUUGUCUUUCACUUAAUGACAACAGCAUUUUUUUCAUUUUUUGCUGUUUGCAUUCAACUGCAAUUUGCAUUUUACUAAUUUGUUGCACCAACACAUAUUAUACAUCGUUUUCUUAAAGGACAGAAAGGGCUUUAAUUUGAUGUAACACACAUAUAUAUAAAUGCUUAUUUAUUAUAAAAAAAAUACAGAAAAAUGUUAAAAAAUGAAAAUUUUGUGUUUUUUUUUUUACAGUUUUUGCAAUAAUAAUGUGUGCAUAAUUAGUGCAGGUUAAGAAAAGUAAUUAAAAAUAAAUUCAUUUAGUUGUUCUGAUUUACAGAAUAUAUAAUGUGGUUUUUUUUUUGGUAGUUACAGGUCACAAAGCACAAGGAGUAAACUAAACCUUUAAUGUGGAGCGAUUUUAGAAUUUGGUAUGUUUGUCUUGUAAGCUUAAUAGCCAUAAAAGAAAACAAAAUUGCCACACAAAAGUAUAUAUUUAUAUAAAGUAGACAUCACGGGCUAUUUACCUAUGGUUGUUUUGACACUUUCUACGUAGGCAUUUCACCGCCAACCUCUGCUAAAUAUUGGAGUAAAAUUGUGGGGUUUUUUGGUUUUUGAGACACAAACUUAUAACAAAGAAAUUCUCAUGUAUAUUUUGUAAAGUUGGUGUGUGCUAUCUCUGUACAAAGUUUUAUUUUGUGUUCAGUUACAUCUGCUGAGUAAAAGGACACUCCCAUUGUAUGUCUUUGGCACUAUUUCGUGAAGCUACAGUGCCACAUAGGAGACCUGUCCUUUUCAGUAUUCACAGGUAUUUCAAAAGGUAUAUUUUGAACCUUAGCUUGGGAUCAUUUUUCCGCUAGCUUGUACCAGAUGUAGUGGUAAUAAGCAUUUUUUCUGCCUUUUUGACACACAAAGUGAGUUUGCACAGUAUAUUUUGCAAACUUUAUGUGUGCUACAACUGUAUAAUACUUCAUAUGUUGCUCAGCUAUGUCGGCUGAGUACAGCAAUACCCCCGUAUGUACCUUUGCCAGGUAUAUGUGGAUGUUGAAGCAGUGGCGGAUCCAGAGCCUUAUCUCGGGAGGGGCACUUGUAGAUUAUUUAAAUAAAUAAUCCAGACACAAUAACCACCAUAGCUAAGUGUAGUGGUUAUGGUGUCAAUAGUGCCGGGACCCCCUCCCAGAGUAAGUAGUCAAACCGUUUAAGAACAGUUUGACACCUUACCUGAGGUCUGCAGGGAAAUGGGUCAGUAGUAGGGCAUAGGAGCAGUGGUGUGUGUGAGUGGUGCAAUGUGUAAGGGGUGCAGUGUGUGUGUGUGUGUGUGUGAGGGGGACAGUGUGUGAGCAGUGUGUGUGUGUGUGAAGGUUGUAGUGUGUGUGAGGGCGGCAGUGUAUGUGUGUAACAGUUGCAGUGUAUGUGUGUGUAUAUGUGUGUGUAUGGGGGGCAGUGUGUGUGUAUGGGGAGCAGUGUGUGUGUAUGGGGGUGCAGUGUGUGUGUAUCGGGUAGUGUAUGUGUGUAGAGUGUGUGUAUGGGGGGGCAGUAUGGGGGCAGUGUGUGUGUAUGGGGGGAUUGGAAGUGUGGGUGCAUGAGGCGUGUGUAUGGGGGGGGGUAAGGCACGUGGCAGUGUGUGUAUGGGGGGCAGUGUGUGUGUGUAUGGUGGUGUGUAUGGGGGGCAGUGUGUGUGUAUGGGGGGGCAGUGUGUGUGUAUGGGGGGCAGUGUGUGUGUAUGGGGGGGCAGUGUGUGUGUAUGAAGGGCAGUGUGUAUGGGGGGGCAGUGUGUGUGUAUUUUAUUUAAGUCAAUAUAAAUAAUCAUUAUGUCCCCCCUCCCUUCUUACCUUUACUGGGGGGGAGGGGGGACAUUUCUCUGGUGGUCUGUUGUCCGUGGGCGAUUCAUUGGUGGUCCAGUGGGGAGAGUGAACUCUAGCUCGCGCUACAGGGCUAGAGUUCACUCUCGCGAGAUUUGGAGCGUUGCCGUGGUAACCGCGGCAACGCUUCAAAUCUCACGAGAGGAGGACCCGGAGGAGCUGCAGCCUUAGCUUCCGGGUCCUCUCUCUCACUCCCUCCCUCCCCCGCUGGCCGCCAGCACAGUGCCUGCGGACUGGGGAGGGAGAUCUCUGAUCUUCCCCCCGGUCCGCAGGUACAUUGCAGGACUAGCACCUGCAUGUGCUGCUGGCAGGGGAGGGAGAGGGAGACCGGCGGAUUUCUCGGGGGGGCAAUUGCCCCGUUGCCCCCCCCGGAUCUGCCACUGUGUUGAAGGGGCGCAUUUGAGACGCAGCCAUUCAGUUUUUUUCUAACUUUGAAGUUUUACGCUGUGUCCAUGUUCCAAUUUGGAGUAGUUUAGACAGUUGGUUAUUGAAACUUCCCCACAAACACAUACUAUUUAUUAAAGAAUACACCCUGGGGUAAUUCAAAAGGCAUAUUUUGAACCUUGGCGUGGGAUAAUUUUUUCUCUAGUUUGUUCCAGUUGUAGUGGUAAUGAGCGUUUUUAAAAUGUAUUUUUUUACUUUUUUUAACUUUUUAACUUUUAAAAACUAGUUUUUAAACUUUUGUUUUGCUUAUUAAUUUUUUUUAAACUUUCCUAAACUUUCUUAAAACAUUUUUACAGAUUUAACAUUUUUCUAAGCUUUUUUUUUACCGUUAACCCCUAACUAGCAGUAAGCAGCACUAACAGUAAAUUCCCCAUUUUCACAUAACUCCCACCCACCCCAACUCGCAAAACAUAUAGUUAUAAAAUAUUUAAAUUAAUUAAUUAAAUAAAUUGAACCCCUGAGGGGUAGCGGCGAUCCGGGGUUAAUUUUACCACAUGACGGACAAGGUCCGUCACUCAUCAUUAAGGACCUCUAGGCACCCAGACCACUUCAGCUUAAUGAGGUGGAUCUAGAUUCUGCAUCAACUAAGGUUAACCAGUUUUUAAUAAACAUAGCAGUUUCAGAGAAACUGCUAUGUUUUAUCAAUAAGGUUAAACCUUCCCCACAAUUCUCUAGUGGCUGUCAUUCCGGCCAGCCACUAGAAACUUCGUCUUCUCACUGUGAUUUUCACGGUGAGAGCCGCACAUCAGCGUCCAUAGGAAAUGUAAAUGCUCCUGGGGCCGACGAAUCUUGUGGCGCAGCUCUUGCAGCGUCGCGCAUUCAACCCGGCGGGCGUAACAGAGGAGGAAGAGGAGGCAGAAACCUCCCGUAGCGCUGGAAAAAGGUAAGUUUUAACCCCUUUCCCCUUUCCAGAGCCGGGCGGGAGGGGGACCCUGAGGUUGUGGGCACCCUCAGGGCACUAUAGUGCCAGGAAAACAAGUAUGUUUUCCUGGCACUAUAGUGGUCCUUUAAGGGUCUCCCCUCUGUGACGGACCUCGUCCGUCAGCCGUCCUGAAGGGGUUAAAUAAUUAUGCUAAAAAGUGUAAAUGUGCUUAUUUGAUUAGUAUCAAUACUUAUUUUACUACUUAAGUGUUUAUGUUUUUUAAUAAAUUAUGCUGAAGAAAAUAUGUGUGUUUAGUUAGUUCUAAACUUAUAGAAUUUACAAUCAUAGUUGGAAAUACCCAUUACCGUUUUCAAAAAUAUGAAUAUGUAUUUUAGUGCAAUUGUAUUAUUUUAAAUUCGGUUUGCCCUUUCCUUACUUUAUUCACUUCCCUUCUCCCUUCUUGGUUAUUUAAUUUUAACUUUAGUGCCCAACCCAAAUAAGCCAGUAGUAAGAACACCUUUAUAUUUAUUGUGUGUGUUUUCAGGUAAUUCAAAUAGUGGUAUAGUUAAAGUGUCAGGAAAACAAACCCUCAGGGUCUCUCUCUCUUGGCGCUGAAGGGGUUAAAACCCCUUCAGAGACUUACCUUAAUCCAGCGCUGGGCUGGUGACCUCUCCUCCCCCGCCGACAACAGCUCCCGAGUGGAGCGGAAUGCGCAUGCGUGGCAAGUACCGUGCGCGCAUUCAGACAGUCCAUAGGAAAGCAUUUGAAAUUUUCGUAUUUCUAUUGAAUUUUCUCUCUUUUAUUUCCCCCAAUAAUUCCUUCUCUCUCCUUCCCAUCCCCUCCUUCCUUCCUAAGCAUCCCCCCUCUCUUCAGAAUUUUCUAGUACUUCUUGAUAGAUCAGGGAAACAUUUAAGAUGUCGACAUUCCUCUGGGAUGGAUGUCAGGUCCCUAAAGGCAAAUAUAAAUUUUUCUUUGAAUUUAUACAAGUGAAAUCUGAUAAUUAUGUAAACUUCCAAAAUCUUGCAGUGGGAUAUCUUCAGUGAUACCUCUUCCAGACCUCUGCCUGUCUUCCAGAUCUUGCAAGUUGGUUUCCAAUCUCUUAAGUUUGGAAUUCAAUAUAUCUAUUGUGUUCUCUGCUGCAUCCAGCUUAAUACAAGGUUGUGUCAAUUGGGUUUAAUUUAUUUCUAUUUUUUUGUUCUAAUCGUUUAAAUUCUGUAUUUAUUUCCCUGGUAUUCUUCUCGAUCUCAUUUUGGAGUUGAUCAAAUUUUUAUUCUAAGUAUAUUUUCAGGGAAUCCAUACUGGUUGUCUGCGGAUCAAGGUCUGCGUUGUUUCCUAUCAUCAAUUUUUCAGCCUCCCUUUCUUUGACAAUUAUUGAAGAGUCCGUGAGAUUUAAUUACGUAUCCGUUAUAUGGGUUUUCAAAGUAGCAAGUAAAAAAAAAAAAAUCAGGCCGUUUUUCAGCCUUCUUUUUUUUAGAUGUAUUAUCUCAUUUAGAAUAUUUUCUUGUAGCCAUAUUGAGACUGUAGGAGAUAGAGAGUGAGGGAGAGAACUGCUCUUAACUUUAAUACUACAGCUCUAGAGUUGGUAUUAAUAGCUCAUUGUUCUUAAUCUAUUCUGUUGAAUUUUAUUUUUUGAAUUGUAAUGUAUUUCCAGUGUCCCUGAAGAAAAGGAUUUGGAAGCAAUGACUUUAAAACUGCUUUUUUAGUUCUUGUAUUUUAAGACUGCUGAGCUGCAGAUUGGUAUUGAUAGCUCUUUGUUCCUUAUCUAUUUUGCUGUUUGUUAGAUUAUAGAAAAAAAUCUGUAUAUAGUUAGAAGCAGUGAUGGAACUACCUCAGUCGUAGGGGUUGCAGCUGCGACUGGGCACUCCACUCCAGGGGGCCCGGCCGCCCUGCGGACCCCUGCGACUGGGUGCCCACCGCCAUGUGUUGCGGCCCCAGCCCGCAUGGUACAACUGCCGGGGGCCGCAUGUUCAGGAGCCCAUAGGGUGGCCCAUGCUGUUAGAGCCACCCGAUGGAAAUUAAUUUCCCCUGUGAUGACAUCAGAUGCUGGGAGGAAGUGACAGCCCCGGUCACUUCAUCCCAGCAAUCAGAGAGAGCCGCAGGGGAGGAAGGAGAUGAGGAAAUCAGAGUGGGAACUCUGACUCCCAUCAGGCUGAACCACCACUGUACCAUAGGGAAAGUCACCCUCCUGCAUCUAAAAGGUAAGAAACAGGAGGGUGACUUAAACAUUUUGUAUGUGUCUGUAUGUGUGUUAGUGUAUGUGUGUCGGUAUGUAUGUAUCUGUAUGUGUGUGUCUGUCAGUAUGUAUGUGUCUGUGUGUAUGUGUGUGUAUCUGUAUAUAUAUGUGUAUGUCUGUAUGUAUGUGUGUCUGUAUGUAUGUGUCUCUGUGUGUAUAUGUGUAUGCCUGUUUGUGUGUAUGUGUCCGUGUCUGUAUUGUGUGCGUAUGUAUGUAUGUAUGUGUCUGUGUGUUUGUAUAUAUGUGUCUGUAUGUGUGUGUCUACAUGUAUGUGUGUGUGUGUGUAUGUAUGUAUGGGUCUCUGUGUGUAUGUGUGUGUUUGUAUGUGUGUGUAUGUGUGUCUGUAUGUAUGUGUGUGUAUGCGUGUCUGUAUGUAUGUGUGUGUUUGUCUGUAUGUAUGUGUGUGUAUGUGUGUAUGUGUGUGUGUCUGUAUGUAUGUGUGUGUUUACAUAUAUGUGUGUCUGUAUGUGUGUAUCUUUGUGUGUGUCUGCAUGUGUAUCUGUUUAUCUGAAUGUGUGUGUGUGUGGGGGAUGUAUAGGGGGUGCCCCAAGACAAUUUUUGCACCAGGGCCCCAUGGUUUCUAGUUACACCUCUGGUUAGAAGCCAAUAUUUCUUAUAUUGCACAGAGUCCCUUUAAUUUUAUAACAUGACAGGAGGCUUCGUAUUUGCUUUAGUCUCUCUUUACUGGAACUCUACAGCAGCACAGAAAAACAACCAAUCAGAAAAAAGUUAGGUACUAUAAAACCCCCUUCCCAUUGCAUCAUUUCCUCUUUCUUUGCUGCUCCGCAGUCAGUACAGGUCAGAGUACCACUGCCUCCUGCUUAUAGUGGGUGGCUUUGGGAUUUAGUGUGAUUUAUUUAUGAUUGUUAUUAAUUAUGCUUGGUUGUGAGAUUUAUGUGCCUUUCUGGCUCUUUUCUUUUCUUUGGGGAAUAUUUCCUUUACAUUACUGAUAGUUUUCCAUGUGUUUAUUUGUACAGAUUACUGAUCUUUUCCAUGUGUUUAUUUACACAGAUUACUGGUAGUUUGCCAUGUGUUUAUUUAUACAGAUUACUGAUAGUUUUCCAUGUGUUUAUUUAUACAGAUUACUGGUAGUUUGCCAUGUGUUUAUUUAUACAGAUUACUGGUAGUUUUCCAUGUGUUUAUUUAUACAGAUUACUGGUAGUUUGCCAUGUGUUUAUUUACACAGAUUUCUGCUAGUUUUCCAUGUGUUUAUUUACACAGAUUACUGGUAGUCUUUCAUGUGUUUAUUUAUACAGAUUACUGGUAGUUUUCCAUGUGUUUAUUUACACAGAUUACUGGUAGUUUUCCAUGUGUUUAUUUAUACAGAUUUCUGUUAGCUUUCCAUGUGUAUAUGUCACAAAUUUCUGUGAGUUUCAGGUAGGUAGAUCACAGAUUACUGUGAGUUUCCAUAUGUAGAUAUAUCCAGGCCCGGACUGGCCAUCGGGCACACCGGGCAAAUGCCCGGUGGGCCGCGGUGGCCAUGUGCCGAGGCCGGCAGGGGAGAUCACAGGAUCUCCCCUGCCGGUCUAUGCAGGGCCGGCACUCUCCUAGCGCCGGCCCCGCUGUUUGUCACGACGGGCCGGUGGGGAGAUCAAGGAUCUCCCUGACCGGCCCACAUGCGGCCGCCGGCGGGGAGGGAGGGAGACAGCCAGCUAGGCUGGAGCGAGGACCCGGCGGAGCACUAACUUGCAGCUCCGCCGGGUUCCUCUCGCGAGAUCCGGCGCGUUGCCAUGGCAACGCGCCGGAUCUCGCGAGAGUGAACUCUAGCCUCACAGGCUAGAGUUCACUCACCCACGAGGACCACCAGGGAACACCGCCACCCUGCCUGCCAGCGUGCCGGACCCCCCCCCUCCCAGGCUAAAGGUAAGAAGGGAGGGGGGGAAAUAAUGACUUUUUUAUUUUUUUUAUUUACCCCCCCUACACACACACACAAUAACAUUUAUACAGCACUCUCACACCCAUCACACACAGCACUCUCUCCCACAGCACUCUCUCACACAGCACUCUCUCACACAGCACUAUCACACACAGCACUCUCACCCAUCACACACAGCACUCUCACCCAUCACACACAGCACUCUCACACACAUUACACACAGCACUCUCUCACACAGCACUCUCACCCAUCACACACAGCACUCUCACACACAUUACACACAGCACUAUCACACACAGCACUCUCACACACAUUACACACAGCACUCUCUCACACAGCACUCUCACACCCAUCACACACAGCACUCUCUCACACAGCACUCUCACACCCAUCACACACAGCACUCUCUCCCACAGCACUCUCACACCCAUCACACACAGCACUCUCUCCCACAGCACUCUCACACCCAUCACACACAGCACUCUCUCCCACAGCACUCUCACACCCAUCACACACAGCACUCUCUCACACAGCACUCUCACACCCAUCACACACAGCACUCUCUCACACAGCACUCUCACACCCAUCACACACAGCACUCUCUCACACAGCACUCUCUCACCCAUCACACACAGCACUCUCACCCAUCACACACAGCACUCUCACCCAUCACACACAGCACUCUCACACACAUUACACACAGCACUCUCACACAUUACACACAGCAAUCUCUCACACAGCACUCUCACACCCAUCACACACAUCACUCUCACACAGCACUCUCACACCCAUCACUCACACCCAGCACUCUCUUACCCAUCACACACAGCACUCUCACACCCAGCACUCUCACACCAUCACACACAGCGCACUCUCACAGAGCACUCACACACACAGCACUCUCACACCCAUCACACACAGCACUUUCACACACACAGCACUCUCUCACAGCACUCUCACAGAGCACUCUCUCACACCCAUCUCACACAGCACUCUCACACCCAUCACUCACACACGGCACUCUCACACCCAUCACUCACACACGGCACUCUCACACACAUCACACACACACCGCACCCUCACACACACACAUACACCGCACCCUCACACACACACAUACACCGCACCCUCACACACACACAUACUGCACCCCUCACAUACACACAGAACCCCCCCAACACACUGCACCACACACAUACACAAUACUUCCAAAUAUAUAUAUAUAUAUAUAUAUAUAUAUAUAUAUAUAUAUAUAUAUAUAUAUAUAUAUAUGUAUGUAUGUAUACACGCACACACUACACUCUUAAAGGACCACUCUAGCCACCCAGACCACUUCAGCUUAAUGAAGUGGUCUUGGUGCCAGGUCCUUCUAGGGUUAACCCAUUGUUUUAUAAACAUAGCAGUUUCAGAGAAACUGCUAUGUUUAUCAAUGGAUUAAGCCUUCCCCCAAAGCCUCUAGCAGCUGUCUCAUUGACAGCCGCUAGAGGUGCUUGCGUGCUUUUCACUGUGAAAAUCACAGUGAGAGCACGCAAGCGUCCAUAGGAAAGCAUUAUAAAUGCUUUCCUAUGCGACCGGCUGAAUGCGUGCGCAUUCAGCCGACGUGGCGGAUCGGAGGAGAGCUCCCCGCCCGGCGCUGGAAAAAGGUAAGUUUUAACCCCUUUCCAGAGCCGGGCGGGAGGGGGUCCCUGAGCCACAUAUGCAUCACAUUACACCACAAACACAACACGACUAAAACCGACCUCAUUACACAAUACCACACCACGACCAGCUCACUCUACACACACGCAAUACCACAAGCAGGCUCCAAACACAUGCACAAUACUCUUUCCUGGCCUUUUUGUCUCCUGGUAUCCAUUUAUAGAGACACCAGAGACAAGUUGCAAGGAAACACAGUGCAAGCAUGUUAUUAAAUUUUCUUGCACUGUGCAGAACAAAUACAGGACUUUUUUCUCAUGCUAGAGCUCUUCAGCAGAGCUCUGCGCGUGGUCUGCCCUGGAAGAGCAUUGAACCAACAUGCUCACUUUGAGAGGAGGCGUGUUUGUCAUUGGUGAUGACAAAACACACCUCCUCUGCCCCGCCCCCUUUUUAGUGGGCCGCUGUGUUAAAAAAAUGCCCGGGCCGAAUUUUUCUCCCAGUCCGGCCCUGGAUAUAUCACAGAUUGCGGUGAAUUUCCAGGUCUAUAUAUCACAGACUACUGUGAGUUUCCAUGAGUAUAUAUUCCACAAAUUACUGUGAGUGUCCAUGUCUAUAUAUCACAUAUUACUGUGAAUUUCCAUGUAGAUAUGUCACAGAUUACGGUGAGUUUCCACCUAGAUAUAUCACAGAUUUCUCGGAUUACUGUGAGUUUCCAUGUGUAUAUAUAUCGCGGAUUUCUGUGAGUCCUUUGGCAGUAUAUACUUAUAUCACAGAUUCUGUGAGUUAUAGUACAGUGUAUAAUAAAUUACAGAUUUCUGUGAGUUCUAUGACAGUGUAUAUAGCACGGUUUGCUGUGAGUCUUAGUGCUAUAGAUAUCACGAAUUGCUGUGAGUUUCACUGACGGUAGAUGUCAGUCCUGUCUAUGCCGAUACUAUUCUAUCUUAUCAGGCUUCUUGGGAAGAUUCAUUGAGUUGGCAAUUGUUUUUGCCCUACUCCUGAAGAGACCAUGAGUACAAUACCCUUCAGGCGGUGCGAUGAUGAUGAUGACCUACAAUAAAGAUAAGAUAUCUCAUACGGAUCUGUAUGUACAUGUGCAUUACAAUUUGCACUUUAAAGAAGGUAUUGCUCAGCAGAGCUUGAUUUUAUGGACACUCACUGGAACAUGUCCAGCUUAAACCCAAUACAACUGGUUUUACCUCUAUGUUGCCUGCUGGGCACUUAGGGACCGCCAGUCCCAGUUACGGUUUAUUCACACAGUAGUACGCUGUCUAAGAUUAGUGUCUAAGGGUACUAGGUCACAGGAUACCCGGAGGAUUUACAGAUAUUUAGGGGACUCUGCCAAACUCAGAGGUCCCCAUUACUCAUUUAAUAUGAAACCCAGGAUUGGCCUGCUAUGUCUGUGCCCCAUUAAUUGGCCUGCUAUGUCUGUGCCCCAUUGAUUGGCCUGCUAUGUCUGUGCCCCAUUGUUUGGCCUGCUAUGUCUGUGCCCCAUUGUUUGGCCUGGUAUGUUUGUGCCCCAUUGAUUGGCCUGCUAUGUCUGUGCCCCAUUGUUUGGCCUGCUGUGUCUGUGCCCCAUUGAUUGGCCUGCUAUGUCUGUGCCCCAUUGAUUGGCCUGCUAUGUCUGUGCCCCAUUGAUUGGCCUGCUAUGUCUGUGCCCAUUUGAUUGACCGACUACAUCUGUGCCCUUCUGUCUGGCCUGCUCUAACUGGGCCCAUCGUUGACCUGCUCUACCUGUGCCCGAACCCCCCUUUGGACCACAAACCUGGGGGAAUAUCACUGAAGUAAGCUCAGUACCCUCUAGGUGGGUGUCCGGACAGGCACUGCUGCCAUAUUAUCCAAGAGGACACCAGGAUAUGGACAUCUAACUGUGAUUGGAGGGGUGAAGGCCCUACACCUCAUGCCCUGAAGGGCAAAGUUUUUAUGAAAAUUCCCGGGCACGCAAUUACGGGUUAUACCCAACGACGACACAUCUCCAAGGGGAAUUUCGCACAAGCAGGGAACAGUGCUCAGAUGCCAUAUUAGGUAUUGGAAGUGUUUUUCUAUGUCAUGUUUAGCUCCUGACCUUUUCAACUGGAUUCACUUGAUUUGUUUUUUCCAGUCUGCUAUCUGACCUGCUUUCCGAGGUACGUAUUUUCCAUUUUCUACUUCAUUGGUCGUUUCUUUGUUUUCGUGCCUUCUAUUGUCCUAUCGCUCGGGUCGUUGAGAGGCCUGACUUGACCUCCUCCGACCUCCCGGGCGCUUGUGGAUUGCGGAGAACGUCUCCAGCUUUCCUCAGACUACCGACGGUCAUCCUGGAGCCCGCGCGCACGCACGGGAUCCGGGCGGUCCGUUGAUAGUUACCAUCUUCAGCUCCGAAACGUACUUUUCUCAUCACCCCUUUCUCUUAUUAAGGUCGGACACGGCCCGAGGUUGUAUACUUUGCUUAUAUAAAAUAAGGGUGUAACCCCACGUUUGGUCACCCUGAGUCUCUACUGGACUCUGGUUUGGAUUACAGAGGGUGCGGCCCUCCUUCACCUCGGCCCGAGACUGAUAUUUUUAUUUUCAAGAGUAGAGGGCGAACCCCUCUUAUUUACCGAAUCGGACACUGAUUCAUUAUUAGAGGGCGCGGCCCUCCCUCAACCUCGGCCCGAUACUGAGCUGGAUAUAGAGGACAUGCUCCGAGUGACUCAUUCUCAUAGAAGGAACCGGACACAGAGGUAGACUCUAUGUUUGACUUCUAACGGGUGCGGCCCGCUCGUACCACCAACCGUGCGCGGACUCAGAGUGUGAUCACAUUUUACAGAGUGCGACUCUCUCAUACACUCAACGCACUAUGGUGCCGUACAUUUGUUCCUCACACAGGCUUGUACCUGUACAGGUCAACUAUGACGCAUAGAGGGGCAUCCCUCCUACAUCCAAUUUAAAUAUGAUGACCGCCCUACUGAUUUCGUUCUAGAGGGCUACCUGAUCGGGCAAGGUAUACAUAGUUUGACUGGAUCCAUCUUGUAAUCCACAUGAGAACUACCCUCAGAGGUAUUAGUGGGGGAGGUUUCCCACUUAUGUACACACAUUCCGGGAGACAGUACAGCUAAGGAGGAGCCUCAGUUUUUACAAGAGUACAGGUUUUGGUAUAACCUGUGCUAUAUCAAACAGACAUUGCACUCUGUUUCAGAUAUUCAUUGUGUACAAACUGUGCAGACUAUUCUCCCGUGUCAGGGUGACAUGAGAUCCUGAGACCUACAUAGGGCAAACGGGCACUGCCUUGCUCGAGUAGCAAGACUGGAAAAUUCAUAUAAAUGGUCUUCAGGUGCACCGUAUGCAUGGAUCGCAUGGAGAAACCAAAAUUAUCAGGACUUGGCUUCCCUGGUCCUUACAAUCUUGAGAUAAAGUUGGCAGGACUGCUCCUACAACUCUGAACACAUAUCUUGAGAACAGUGUUCGGACUCUAUAUCCAUCACGGGAACCAUCUUGGUUUGGGUUCUCACUAGCCUUCCUAUUCAACUACCAUCAAGGAAGCCUACACUGGGAGAUACAUGCUUGGACAGUCUAUGAGACAGGAACUUAGGGGUCUCACUAUAUUAUUCCCUAUCUUGUAGGUGGCGUGUAGGCCAGGAACCCCUACACGAAUAUUGACAGGUCGGGCAUGGAACAGGAUUGUACAAAUGGUAAUCAGAGUAUUUCACACUCUCACUGCAACACGUAAGGGCUCUUCUGUGUUAUACGGGUCCUAAACUCUAUUGGAUCCGGCCAUCUUAGCACUCUUAGAGGAUGAUGUAUUUGGAUGGAAAUCUCAACCCCGGUUUCUGGUCCCAUCCUUUUGAAUUUUCCAGGAUCCACAAUUCCCAGAAUAGUUGACCACCGUUUACCACACGAGUUCAGUUUGAGACCUUGAUUGGACGCCCUUUGGAUGUCUUUUCUAGACCGCAGCCGUGGAUUACACAGUCCAGUUGGUCUCUUAGGAUACGGCUAGUAUUGUCCACACUAUUAUCUGCAUAUAACUUUAUUUUCGGAGAAGUAUUUCCCACCCAUUCUUAUCCCUCCCUUGUUUAAUUUUAUAGUUUGGAUUUAUCAGGUACGUAUACAACUCUGCUUGUUGUUUCUGCUACCUGUCACCUGUCCUUAUGUCUGUUUUUCAUAAGUAGGGUUGGGAUAUCUACAUAUUAAGGUAAUUUUGUUUGCUACAUUGGGUAUCUACAAGUUUAUUCAAAAUACAUUUCAUUGGAUAAUCAACCUAUUCUGGUUUUCUCUCAUUUCAGUUUCCAGUCCUUCAGCACUAUCUGGUGUGGAUGGUGGACAUUGACUUAUUUAUUUUCAGUCCAUCAACGCUAUGCGGUUGACAGUUCUUCUCAGACGUUGGACAUUGCUGUAUUCAUCGUAUCUGGACUUCGUUGCUUCCCAUUAUUUUUCUGCCUUUGUUCUGUUUUGUCGCAGCUUGAAAGAGGAAAUGAUGCAAUGGGAAGGGGGUUUUAUAGUACCUAACUUUUUUCUGAUUGGUUGUUUUUCUGUGCUGCUGUGGAGUUCUAGUAAAGAGAGACUAAAGCAAAUACUCACCUCCUGUCAUUAAUAAAAUUAAGAUUAUAGGUACACUAAAGCUAGCAUAAUCUACAAUUGUAACAAAAGCCAUUUAAAAUGUAAACACAGAUCCUCUUAAAUGUAUUGCAGUACUUGCUGAACUGUAAUCGAACUGCUGCAUUUUUUCUUAGCUCAUAAUAGAUUUCCAGCAUCCCCAAAUUGGAAUAAAAAGCAGAUUUGUAGAUUAGUGUUGGUAGCUCUUUAUUCCUAAUCUGUUUUGUUGUUUUAUUGUUUCUUUGGCGAUACAGAGUAACUGUGCAUAGUGAGAAGCUAAGUUUCUUAUAUUGCACAAAUUCUCUUUAAAUUGUAACUGAGGCAGCUUGAGACACUUUUAUGUGGCAAUUUUAUUUUCUUUGAUGGCUAUCAAGCUUACAAGACAAACAUACCAAAUUCAAAAAUCGCUCCACAUUAAAAGUUUAUUUUACUCCUUGUGUUUUGUGACCUGUAACUAUGAGAAAAAAAAACUUAAAAUCCUAGACACAUUAUAUAUUAUGUAAAUCAGAUCUAAAUUAAUUUAUUUUAAUUACUUUCCUUAACCUGCACUAAUUAUGCACACAUUAUUAUUGCAAAAACUUUAAAACAAACAAACACGUUUUUUCCUUUUUUUUUGCAUUUAUUUGCAAUUUUUUUUAUAAUAAAUAAGCAUUUAUAUAUGUAUUUGUUACAUCAAAUCAAAGCCCUUUUUGUCCUUUAAAAAAUUAUAUAUAUAAUAUGUGUUGGUGUAAUAAAUAAGUAAAAUGCAAAUUGCAGUUGAACGCAAACAGCAAAAAAUGCAAAAAUUGCUUGUGUCCUUAAGUGCAAGACAAGCUUUUGAAGCUGUGUCCUUAAGGGGUUAAUACACUCAUAACUGAUAAAUAACUUUUCAUUGUCUGUUUUCUUUUUCGUGAAUAUUUAUGAAUUGAUAUGUAUGUUAGUGUUGAGCAUUUAUUUCUUUUAAAGUCUGUUAAUUUUCUGUAUGAAAUUAACUAUGUAGAAUCUUUCAUCACAGUUUGCAGGUCAGAUGAAAAGUUUAAUUUUAACAGUUGAUGUCCAGUUGCCUAAAGGAAUGCUUUUCUAAUUUAUUGUAACAUGGAUAUGUCACGCUUUACCUACAUUAAAACAAAAAACAUGUGCAGCAUCAAUACAAUGGUUUACGUCAUUUACAGCUCAAUGUUAUUAUUAUACAGUUUAAAAUUGAAUUACAUGGACUCCAAAACAUUCUCAUUUCUUAUCAUGAGUACAGAUGGGUGGGUGCCCUGAAUAAAAAUUGGGGGGUGGGGGGACCUAUUGUCCUCCUCCCUGGCCCCCAACCCUGAGUGGCAGGUGGGAGCACUCAAUAAAAAUUUAACCACUACCUACCCCCUCACCCUAAAAAUAAUGAGGGGAGGACCUUUAACUAAGUACCUGUAAAAAUAAAAUAAAACUUACCAUUUGAUGUUUUCUUUUUUCUAAAAUCGUCUUUUUUCAUCCCCAAAAAAAGGCCAAAUAAAAAUCCAUAAUAACCGACGCACUUAAAAAAAAAAAAAGAGCGCAAAAAAAUAAUAAUCCAUCUUCACCCAUGGAGGGCUCUGCGCAGACUGAGCUCUGCAGGGCGGGGGAAGGCUUAUAAAGCCUUGCCACCCCCUGAAAUUAGGCUCAGAGCACUCUGACAGGUAAGUCUCUACAUUUACCUGUCACAGCACUCUGAUUGGUUGGCUUGAAAUCCACCAAUCAGAGUGCUCUCUGUCAUUUUACAUAGCGUGGGAAAGUUCUUUGGAAUUUUCCCACGCUGUGGGAAUUACACAGCGUGGGAACAUUCCAAAGAAUCAUAACACUCUGAUUGGUGGAUUAAGUUCCAAAACUCAGGUCUGUAACUUGAUUCUUCUCUCUACCCCCAGGAAGUGGAAACAAAACUUGAAUAGAAGACUAGCUGGCUGGUCAAAUGUAAUAAAAUCGCUUUUCUGUGUCUUUUUCAGGUUGAUUGAAAUAAAUAUUUCAUGUAUAUUUCUUCUUAGGAAACAGGCUCACCAGGUUUAUAUACGUUUACAUUAACCAAAAAUACUAAUACACUAUCUGACUUAAGUUUUUUUCAGGUUUAUUCUUACAGUUACUGAUACAUAAUAAAACAACAAAGGAUGUUACAGGAUUAUGGAUGUUCAACAGCAGGUGGUAAAUGCUGAAGGGAGAACUAGUCUACAUAGUUAGAGAAGAAGAAGAACACCAUGCAGCAAGCAGCAAGACCUUGUGGUUCUUUAUCCACUAUUGUAUAUAGAUAUGACCAUAAUGACAUCAGAAUAUAAACCUAGCCAUAUAAGGAAAAGACCCCCAAUCCACAUUCCAGACUUCUCAUACAAAGAAAGCCUUGUGACUGUGAUACCAUCUGUUACUUAUGUCAAUCCAGACAUCCAUACAUAAUCAAUAGAAACAUAGAAUAUGCAAUAUUCUACAUGGACAGAAUAUGGCCUACACAUAACAUUGGGUUUGGGAAGGUUCAUGGCUUACACACUUGGAGGCCGGUCGGAGAAUACUUGUCAUCUCCGAGGGUUGGGGUCAGUUGGCAAAAUGGCAAUGGGCUAUGGCUAGCAUUCAUAUGCCAUGAUGCCAAUUUUUCUUUGGACACGGAAUUUCCUGGGACAGUCUCUACAGUUAUCUUUAAUUAUCUGCCUAUCUGCUUGCUCCUUAAUAGUGUUGUAAUAUGCCUUUGAGUACCCUUACAUAACUAAUAGUCAGUGUUUUCUAGAUUUAGCUAAUAACCCAGAGCUACGCACUAUGGUAAUGGUCUGAGCCUUCCUUUGGUCAGAUAGUUCAUUUACUCACUAGCAUCUCAAUCUAUUUUACCGUUGCAGUUUCCUUAAAAUCUCUUUAACAAGGCUUUAAAGUUUAAAUCUGGUUUGUCUCUAUGGUAUUGUAAUUGUCAAGUACACCCUGUAUGCCAAGAUGAGUCAUGUUAUAUUAUUCCAAAUGUGGACUGCCCUUCUAUUUGUAAUACAAAAAUUGGUCUGUAUCAUGCCACAAUAAAAAUACAGAUUAAAAAUAAAUAAAUAAAUAAAUAAAUAACGUAUUCCUUUAGUUUUUCUCUAUGGUGACAUAAAAUGUACAACUUUAUCCAAGGCCAUUGUAUAUAUUGGAUCAGGAAAUUGAUCUCCUAUAACUGUUGAGCAUUUCUCUCAGAUAGUAUUGUUAUGUUGUUCCAUCAUUUCUUUCUUUUUUAUAAUUCUUUAUUUGUCAGUGCAAUGCAUGAACCAUACUUCAAUCAAUAGUAGUUAGGUAGAGGGAUAACAAGGCAUAGGGUGUGGAACAUUGGUAAUCUGCAACAUUUUUAUAUAUGUAUAUAACAUGUAAACAUAGGCCUAGGUGCAUCAGUAGGUGACUUAGCUUGUGGUGGUUGUUUGGGUGGGUAGUGUGUCCACAGGGAGCCUAGGGGCUGAUGCCUUAAUAUGCUGAAAAGGAGUAGUGGGGGGUAUUGCAGUUUAGGUCUCAGCAUAUAUGCGUGCGUGAUAGUGUGAGUAAGAAGUGUAGUAUUUGCAGAGCAGUGUGUGGUCCUAUAUGCGUGAAGUCUGCUGUACUCAGGAGUUUGAAUGAAGCUGAUCAGUGCGGCUACUCAAGCUUGUGGUGUUGCUUUGUGCUUUGGGUGUAAUUGCUCCUAACCGAAGGAGCAGUGGACAGCGAAGUGGAGCGGCGUGUGAAAGGUGCCAUUCGAUUCAUUUGACUAAGAGUGUGUUAUGCGGAUGUCUCAGAACUGUGAUGAUAUGAUUUGGAGCUGUGUUGUAAAGAGUGUGUCAUUCAUUAGCGGGAGAAAAUAAUAUCAGGAAAAAGCUACUGAACUUAAGGUAAAACAAAAAGAAAAAGUAACUUUUUUGUAGUCAUUAGACUCUCCAAGGCCUGAGUAGAGGAGAAGUUGUCGACAGGAAUUCAGGUGCCAUAUAUCAACUCAGUUCUGAUUUGCUGUCUUGGUCCCGUAGCCUGGGAUUUCAUGAUACUCGGAACGAAGGGAACAGUGCGUUCGGGAUCCCAAGAUUCAAUAAUGGGUCUUGCAGGUGGUUUGGUGGUCGGGGGUGUCAGUCACAAUGCUUCCUGGAAUGUGGGUGUUUCCUCCAGUGAUGCGAGCGUGUGUGAGGUUCCGUUGAGGUUCGCUACCAGGCAUCCGUUCAUCUUCAUGAUGUAGGUAAUGCCUGCUGUUUGUAGGCUGCUUGUUAUAGGGCCAAAGGAUUUACCACAGAGAGGAGUGGCUUUGACCAGGUCUUGGUAGAAUGUAAUGGAUGCAUCCUCAAAAGCUAGAGGUGUCUUAUUUUUAAGUGCCGACAUUAUCUGGAUUUUAUCAUGGACGGUUAGGCUUCUGUAUCUGUAAAAUAUGACAUCUUGGGUCACUUUCGGUGGUGCCUUGUUGGAGCCAGGUACGCAAUAUGUCCCAUCAAUAGCCAGUUUCUUUGCUGUUUGCUGUUUGCUCUGAGAUGUGUGCAAACCUGGUGGCCAUCUACAAGAAACGUCUGUGAUUGCCAACAAGGGUUUUGCCACCAAGUACUAUGUCGAAGGGGUCAAAUACUUAUUUCACUCAUUGACAUGCAAACCAAUUUAUAACUUUUUUGACAUGCGUUUUUCUGGAUUUUUUUGGGGCCCCAAUCGAUGUGCCAGAAUUUAAAAGAUUCUGGGCAUUGACUAUGCUGAUUGUGGCGAAACCGGCCUCGCCACGUGUCCUUGGAGGGGGCUGCUUGCCCGCCUCUUGCCUUUAUGUAUGUACGAUGUUAACUCACAAAGUUAUAAAAAUGUACAAAAAGUAACUUUUCAGCUUGGAGAUAAUUGAGUAGAUACAGUAAUUGACUCAAUUAUCUCCUAAGCAGAGGGGAGGAAUAUGCUGGGUGUGUUUCCAUUGUCCAAUUGUGUCUGAUUGGCUGCUGUACUUGCAUUGUAUGUGUUGUAAUGUGUUUAUUGGUGGUUCUGCAAAACCCUGUGGGCAGUACUAUGUUUUGUGGAUUGUAAUAAAAACCAGGCUGGGUGUGCCAGCACUGGAGUUCCUGCUUAACCCUCAAAGUGAAGUGUCGUCUCAUUAUUGGGGGAAGGAUUUAUUGUAUGCUGUUCCAGUUUGACUGCUAGGAGAGUAAACCUAUUCGUAUGGUUCCUAUUCAACUGUCUACAGCAUUCAUAUGCUUGAGAGAAUUCAUAUGCUUCUCCGGUUCGGUGGUUGUGGUGUCUGCUGCAGUGCUUGGAGUCCUCAGGAAGCGCUAGGAGCAUCCUUUAACGGAGGUACCCAGUCGGGGUGCCAGGCGAUCCGUUACAUUGGUGGCAAGCGGUGGGAUGGCGUCCUAGUGCGAGGUAAAGCAGCUCAGAGACACAGUUCGUUUGGAGUUACAAAUUGAGGGCAACGCUAGCACACGUGCAGCGCCCCUGGGAGCAGAGGUAUCCAGCGACUUGGAGCAGACAAGUAUGGAAUGCUCUGGCGAUGAUUGGAUGGCCGAGGUGAGGCAGCGAGUGGCCCAGUAUGGGGAUGAUUUACCCAUGGAGGUACGCCGGGUGAUCUGGAACCAGGUCACGGCCGAGCGAAACACAAGGCUGGCCCGAGAAUUCCGGCUGGCGAAAGAGAGAGAGUAUGCUCAGCGGAAGGAGUGUUACAGCAGCCGAGUAGAGGCUGCAUCCGAGGAGGCUAGCCGUCUCCCCCUGAGGCGGCCGCAGGAACCCGAAGUAGGGGUCCUCAUAGACUGGUCCUGUGAGGAACCACAACAGGCAGGUGGAGAUGGGACCGGCCCAGAUCCCCAGCAGCAGCCGGAGUUGCCAGGUGCGGAAGCAGGUGGUCCUUACUCGCAAAUGUUGAGGGACCUCACAGACUGGUCCUGGGAAGACCCGCAGAUGGCAGGUGGAGAUGGGAUGGCGGUCGCUCUACCGGCCCUACAGGGAUGCUGGGCGGUCGGCCCAGAUCUCCAGCGGCAGUGUGAGUCCCAGGGAGCCGAAGGGGUCGUCCUUCCUCCCCAGCGGCAGUGUGUAUCCCAGGGAGCAGAAGGUGGCGUCCUUCCUCCCCAGCGGCAGUGUGUACCCCAGGGAGCUGAAGGUGCCGUCCUUCCUCCCCAGCGGCAGUGUGUACCCCAGGGAGCUGAAGGUGCCGUCCUUCCUCCCCAGCGGCAGUGUGUACCCCAGGAAGCAGAGACCGUCUGUCUCGCACCCCAGCCGCAGGACAAAAUAUUGAAAGGGGAGACAGUUGGUCCCCCUCUCCACCAGCAAAGAGAGUGUCAGGGAGAGGAGCAGGUUACCCCCUCUCCCCAGCGGCAGUCUACAGUUCAGAGAGAGGAGCUUGUUACACCCUCUCUCCAGCGGCAGCCUAACCCACCAAGGGGAGAUGUUAAGCCCCACAACUAUGCAGAUGGGACUGUAGUCUCUGCACUUGCAGCACCAGGGGUAGGGACGGUCGGUCCUGUCCCCCAGCCACAGAGCAGUGUAUCCAGAGGGGAGACAGUCGGUCUCCCCCUCCCACAACCAGGCUCCAACCAGGCUACUUCAGUGGUAGCGCUGGCACCCGGGCAGAGUACCGCUGGUCUCUGCCCACUCAGCAACCCACCAAGGCAGUCUACCAGCCCCCCGCACAGCCGUGGUGAGGCACCUGGACAUGGACAAGUUGCUAUUUUAUCCAGGUGUAGUAACCAGUUAUUGUGGGUGGGCUGUAUUGCUGUUUGUGCUUCGUGGGUGGGUUGCUGGACUAACCAGGGCACUGACCGGCAGGAGGUCAGAUACCCUGUUAGUCUGGAUGGUAAAGGGGAGAAAUGUGGCGAAACCGGCCUCGCCACGUGUCCUUGGAGGGGGCUGCUUGCCCGCCUCUUGCCUUUGGACUAUGGACCAGACUUUAUGUGAAUGUGUUAACCCAGAUAGCUAUGCCAUGGAGCCCAUUCGUGUAGUUAAAGACUUCGGCUCCAUGGCAAUUGAACU